UUUUUUUUUUUCUUUUUUUUGUCUGAAUUUUAAAGAAGAGCAAAUAAAACUCUAGGGAAAAUAAAUUACUCGCCCAUGGUCAAACAACUAGUCAUUAACAAAUCCUGGUAUAGAUAGAUCACUGCUAUUUCUGUGAAGCCUUGUUUUCUGUGCCCCAUAUAUUGCCUAGAACAGAGUCGAACAAGUAGAAAGUACUCAAUUAUAUAGUUUAAUAGUAGGUACACAGUGGAGUAUAUUCCCUGCUGUGCCCCAUAUUGUGGGUCAUAUAUGAUAUGGAGUGACAACAGAACAUUUUGGGCACAUUUUUCCCUGUCAUCAGUAGCUAUGAGGUGGUGAAAGCCUGUAGGGCCAAUGAAAAUACCAAAGCAGGUAUUUUGGAAAUAUACUUUUAUUACUGAUUUUGGGUGAUAAUUGCAUUUCUAGAGAUGAUGACCUGGCAAAAGCUUUUUGACUUAGACAUCUAAUGUCACCACCAUAUCUCAGUACCCAGCCUACCCCCCCCCCCCCGGCUCCCCCACAGUAGGCAAUUUAUUUGUCUUGGCACAUUCCACUCUCUUUUCAUUAGUGAAGUUGGCCUCUUGGGGAUGGCAUUUCCAAGAGCAAUACAAAUACUUCCUUUCCUAUCAAUAAAGCUGUGAUUUACAGUAUUUAAUCUAGUUGAAAGGCAGGAAAAAUAGAAGUCUGCGUGCAGCAGAAAUGAAAUUAUAAUAAAAUGGCACUGUCUCCAAAGUUUUCUUAAUAUGUGGAGUAUUAACCUGGCACCCAGCCUUAUUUACUGCAUACAGAACUCCAUCAAUCAGAAGAAUGGAAAGCCUGGAUUUUUAAGACUCUUAUUAGUACAUUUGACUUUCUAGGUUCUAUAGAUUUUAUUGAGUAAAUAACAUGAUAUUUGAUCUAUAGUAUCUCCUCUCUUGUCCUUUGUAAGACUGAAUCUCUGUGCAAAACCUAGAGAUAGUCCUUAUAAUAUCUGUCCCAUGUUCAUCUGAGUUCCACUUUUUGCCCCACAUGCCACUGUCCUCUGCAUCAUCCUAGGACCCUCAUUUGAUUAUAAAACACUCAGUUUUCAUUUGUAAGAGUGUUCCCUGAUUUUUUUGCCCCUAUAGGUAAUUGCCCCUUGGAGAAGUAGGGCAAUGGAAAAUUAGUCAUGUUUAGUUGCAAGCUUAGAAAUGCUGUAAUGAAAUUUAACUCUUUCCCCAGUGAACUAAAAACUGCUCUCUCUUGCUCAGCCUCAAAACUUGAGUGUGAUUUAAUGUUUAUUCAGCACUAACAAUGUACAGCUACUUCAAAAAAGCAUUCUGUUUACCUAGCACUCUAAAGUUCUGAAGACAUGUCACGUGCUUUCCCUAACUGGUACUCAUAAGGCCCUAGUGAAGAAUAAAAAGAGGACAUGCACAUUGUCCCCACCACAUGCACUGGAAAUAAAGCUCAGACUCUUUAAACAAGAUAAUUGAAGUCAGUACCCCUAGAACAUGAAUGAAACACCGCUUCCUGAUUCAUUCUGAUUUAACCGAUAAAUGAUAUUAUUUUUCUUUAUUUUCCCUUUUUUAAAUCACCCAUUUCUGCCACCCGUUUUAGACCCAAGUUCAUUCUCAUCUUACAUUUUAGACAAAAUUGAUGGUUUUUUUUUAUCUUGGUGUAUUCUUCAUUCCUUUAUGCAGUAUUGUUAUCAAUCCAUUUCCUAUUCUCUUUCUUCUUUAACUUAUGAUUACAUUUAAACUAGUUAUUGUGGGAGACAUUACGAGAAAGAAAGGUGGUGACGACAUUAAAAUGUUCUCUCACUCUUUUUUCUCUGUUCCUGGUGCUGUGUUCAGUGCAGGCUCUCUGUUCUCAUUGAGGCUACAGCUUCUUUGCUGAAUCACUGCUUUGUAUUCAGCCAGGGACCAUCGAGUAUUCCCAGUGUAUUUAUUUUUUGUCCCUGAGCUGAAUGCUGGGUGCUUCUUUGUCCUGAUGCCUUCUGCAAAAGAGUUUUAAGAGGUGGGGGACAGAGAGUGAAAAAGACAAGGAGGGGGAGGAAUGCCAAUACAGCUUCCUCUCUCCCCCAGAGGAAAGUGCGUAAAAGGCUCUAACAUUGCUUCCCUCAGUGUUCUCCUCUCUGCAGCCCUUGUUCUUAAUUGGAUCUAGACUCUAGAGAAAAUCACUUUGUUAAUGGAAUGGUUAAAGAAAAAGAGAUGUAGAAGUUGGCUGUGCCCAGUUCUGGCAACUUGUCCUCUUUGGGAAUAAAAUCUCAGAUGCCUGAUCUGGGUAAGGGAUUCUGCUAUCCUGAUCAUGAGGAAAUACCACUUCCCUUCUGUUGCAUUUUUUUUUUUUUUCUCUCAGAAUGGGAGGUUAUUUUCUGUGUCUCCUCUCAAAAUACAGAAAACGAAUUUGCUUAGAAAAUUGUUCAUUCAUUUACUCAGCCAUUUAUCUAUUGGUCCAUUCAUUUAUUUAUUCAUAUAUUGGACAAAUAUAUGUAUGUCUUUGUGCCAGAUACUGUCCUAAGUUGUGAGAAUAAAAUGAUAAAUGAGAGAAAUAAGUACCUUCUCUCAUGGAGCUUACAUUCCAAAUGAGGAAAAGACAAUAAACAAAUAUUCCAAGACAUAAAUGAGUUCUGGUUUGUGGUAGUGCUUUACUUGAAGCUCCAAUAGAAUAUUAAUAACAGAAACUGUGAAGGGGGUACUUUGGAUGCUGUUUCCAGAUAAGACCUCUCUGAAGGAUUAAUAUUGAAGCUGAGACCUCAAAGCUGCUUGUUCAAGCUUAUCAGUACCGUUUAUCUGUUUUAGCAGUUUUAAUGAGGUAUAACUUAUAUAUCAUAAAAUCCAGUUAGUAUUAGUAAAUGUACAGAGUUUUGCACCCAUCACCACAGUGUAGUUUUAGAACAUUUCCAUCGUCCCCAGAUGGUCCCUUAUUCUCCUUCUGGUCACUUCCCAUUCCCACUCCAGUCUCUAGGCAAAUACCAGUCUACUUUCUGUAUGUGCAUACUUUCCUAUACAUUUCUAUAAGGAAGCUGUACAAUAUGUGGUCUUUUAUAUCUUCCUUCUUUCACGUAGCAUGUUUUUGAGGAUCGUUUAUGUUGUAGCAUGCUUCAGUUGUUUGCUCUUUUUUAUGCCAGUAUGGUAUUCCUUUAUAUGGAUAUGCCGUAUUAUGUUUAAUCAUUCACCAGAUUACGGACACUUUGAGGCAGUUGUGAUCAAUGUUCCUAUGAACAGUUGUGAGCUAUUCUGUGUGUUAAUAUAUAUGUCCACUUAUCAUUUAUAGAUGCCUAAGAUUGGAAUUGCUGGAUUUUAUGGGAAAUUUAUAUUUAUCUUUUAAGAAAUUAUCACACUGUUUUUCAGUGUAGCUAUACUGUUUUCUCAUUUGUAGUGCGCAGUUUUGAUUUUUCCAUGUCUUGCGAACAUUUAUUGAUGUUUGUAUUUUUGAUAUAGCCAUUUGAGUGUGUAUGUAGUUGUAUCUUAUUGUGGUUUUAAUUUGUACUUAUGUAAAUCCUAAUGUUGAUAUUUUCAAGUGCUUAAUAGCCAUUUGUAUAUCUUUUUUGAAAAUAUGUUAUUCAUAUAUAUUUGCCCCAUUUUUAACUGAGAUGUUCAUCUUAUAAUUGAAUUGUAAGAAUUUUGUGUAUAUUCUGGAUACAAGCCUUUCAUCAGAUAUAUAAACUUACAGAUAUUUUCUUACAUUCUACAGCUCAUUUUUUUAUUGAAGUACAAACUUUAAAAAAAAUUUUGGCAUGUCCAGUUUAUCAAUUUUUUUCUCUUAUGAAUUAUGCUUUUGAUAUCAGAUCUAAAAACUUUACAUCUAGCCCAAAGUUAUAGAGAUUUAUUUCAAGUUUUUUUUUCUAAAAUUCGUAAAAUUUUUAUUCUUACAUUCAGGUCUGUGAUUUGCUUUUUGUUCGUUUCUAUGUAUGAUAUGAGGUAGUUUCUAAAUUGAUUUUUUUUCUAUAUGAAUAUCCUCAUAGUUCAAGACCAUUUGUUGAAAAAAACUGUCCUUUCCCUGUAGAAUUGAUUUUGUACAUUUACCAAUCUAUUUAUUUUAUAUUUAUUUAUUUUUCUAUUUAUCUUUUAUUUAUUUAUUUUUAUAUUUAUUUUCUAUUUAUAUUUAUAUUUCUUUCCUAUUUCGUGCUCUAUUUCAAGAGGGAAUAAUGGCCCAUGAAGCUGAAAUCUAUUAGUUUGUUCCUAGAUUAGUCAUUGCCAUAGCAUGCCUGAAAUCUAUAGUGUUUUGUGCCUGUUACUGCCUGGUUUUCUAAAAGAUGUACAAGAUAUGAUUCUUUCAUUGAGUAUGUACUAUAUUACAGACAAAGAGAUAUGAGGCCUUUAUUUGUUCUCAAAAAGUUUUUAAUAUAGGAGUGAUAUAUAUGCAUUUGCAUGUAUAUCAACAAAAGUAAGUACAGUGUUACUUUUAGAUGUUAUAAAAGAGCAAAAUGAAGAAAAUUUAGAAAUUUUAAGUUAAAAGAAGCUGACAUAUGGAAGUUGUUUUAAUAAAAGGCUCUAUAGUAAAUAUAUUACUGGUUGUUCAACUGUGUAUCCAAAAUAAUUUGCUCUAAUUUUAAAGUGGUUAUUACAAAUAGAUGAAUACUGAGAAUUAUAUCCAUCUACAUGUUGGACAGUUAGCAACUUACCUACCUUUUCUGGCCCAAAUUGGUUCAUUUUGCUUUGAUGUUGUUUUCACCCUGUUUAUUUACAUACCUUGGUUUCCACUAGUCUUCCUUGCUCCUGCUGAUGCCUGUUUUGGUUUGUUUAAAGAGUACUGUUUUAUCCCAAAUAAGUAUCUUUAAGAUCUUACCUGUCUUCCUACUCUGAAUCUUGACCCAAUCCUUUGCUAUUUUACUAUUAUCAUUGUCUAGACCUAAAACCUAGAGCACUGAUUUUCUAGCAAUGAAAUUUAAGUAAUUAUAAAACCGAUUUAAUUUGAAAUCUCAUUAAUCUAUUCCUCAAACCUUACAGAAACACAGGAAAUAAUCUAAAUACUAUAACUUCCAAAGAAAAGUAGUAAGUGAUUUAUUGAAUAAGUAAUUAGGGAAUUUUAAAAAAGAGAGGAAUCACUUAUAUCUGGCAUGGUCAAGAAAGGCUUCAAAGAUAUGUGGCAAACAAAAAUCCUCGAAGGAUGGUAAGAUUAACUUUGUACAUAUGUGAGAAGAAUAGAAAAGUAGGCAACUCCAAACAUUAUAUUUUCAUUUAUUUAUUCAUUCAUCCAUUCAUUCAUCACCAGGUAAAAUGCUGGAGGGAAAGAAUGCAUAGAGUGCUUUUGCAGAAUACUUGUGAGUCAUCUACACAGAAUUAGAAACAAGAGGAAAAACUGCUGGAAAGAUAAGAUCGAUACAGAAUAUUUAACAUUCAAGUAAAAGUUAACCUAUAGUGGUUAGAAGGAAGACGUACAGAUGUUUCAGGAUGAGGAAAUAGCCUGUGCAAAGGUGAAGACACAUAAAAGUGUAUGGAGAAUUCAGGGAAUUAAAAGUGGGUUGGUGUGGAUGAAGCAUAGUAUGAGUGUGAGCAUGAGCAAUGAGGUACAAGGUGAUUUGAAGAAAUGGUGAAUCUUUGUUGCGCAAGUAGGAAAAUUGCAAGGAAAACAAGGUAACUAUAUCUGGAAAUGCAUGAGUGUAUAAGUUAUGAGUCACCAUGAAUACUAGGUUUAAGGGUCUGAAUUUUAAUUUUUUCAGGCAAGGGGAAAUGGUUUUGUAACUCACAUUGCUAUAGUUGUGGCCUGUGAGAUAGUUUGAAGGUGGGGAAAGCCUGGCAGCAGGGGCAUUGUCUAGCAGUGUCUUGUAGUACUAUGUGUUUGAUGAUGAAGGGAUAAACUAGAAUUGUGAGUGUGGUAUUGAAAUAAGUAAUAAGACAUGAGAAAUAUCUUGCAGAAAUUAUCACAAGCAGUAUGGCUGGUUGACUCAACAUGGCAAGGAUUAAUGAGGAGUCAAGGAUGUCAUUGAAAUUUCAAGUUUGCUAAUAAUAGAAAAUUAAGAAAAGGGAGCAUUUUUGGUGAGGAAAAGGUAAUAAAUUAGAUUUUCAGACCUGCUGAGUUUGAGAUGACAUUAAAAUAUCCAUGGAGCUUUUCCACUAGCAGUCUUAGAUAAAUGACUGAAUCUCACGAGUGAGAUCAGUGGUGAAGAUUGGAUUGGCAAGAUUUACAGUGCGGUGGAAGAAAGAGUAGUGCUUUACAAAUAAACAUAAAUGGCAUAAAAAUGCAUUGACUUCACUGUGGGUGUACAGGAAAAUGACCAAGUGAAAUCUAGGAACCAGUGAGAGGAAGAGAGAUAGAAUAAACACAUGUUUAUGAAGCAAAUGCUCUAUAGAUGAUAUAGUUUUCCAAGACUGCAUCAGUGGUAUCUCAAGGGAGUUUAGUUUAUUAGAACCACUGUGAUCAGCCUCCAGUCUGUCACUCUUGUCUCUCUGAGAUAUAAUAUUUUCUUCUCUAAUGUACAAAAAUGCCAUGGGUCCUUGUUGUGAUCUCUGCAGCAGGAAAUCCACAAGACCUACUGGGUCCUGGUACUCAGAGACAAAGGGCUAAACUGUUUCACCAGUGGAACCUCAAGUAAAUACAAAAGAGUCAUAUUGCCCUCGUGUCAUCAUUUAUUUAUCAUAAUCAAGACUGACAAAUGAAACAAAGAGACUUAUUCCCUUAAAGAAACAGGAAAUCAGGAAAUCAGGCCAGUUGUUUAAAAAAAAAAAAAAAAGGCCAGGAUGUAAGCCAAAUUCUCUUUCCUUUCUUUUCUCAUCCCCUUGUCCUAUUUCUGAUUUGUGUUUUCUUGUCAGCAUUUUCUCUAGUGGAUCGAUUCCUCUUCAGCUGGUCCCAGUGAUUUUAAGUAAAGGGAAAAGCUUACUCUUUGCAGGUGAGAGAUAAUCAAAUUGAAUAUUACACAGCCCCUGAAGUGCAGGCAGCUGAUAACAAGAGCCAGACUCAAUAUCCUGACAGAUGUUGUCUUGGAUUGAUUAAUCUCUGCUCUCACUCUGGUGUAGCCUCCAGCAUGGACAGCACAGCCCUUUGGCCUUAUCCCAGAUGGGUUUCUGUGUGGCUGGGACUAGCUCAGAGGAACAACCCUGUUAAGAGCACAACAGAAUCUCUUCCUUUCGAGGAGGAAGAAAUUAAAAUCCCAGCUUGCCUACCUCUGUUUUGAAAUCCACUGUGGUGGAGGGCCAGAUUCUGGCUUAGUUUAUGGUACUCAGAAUAAAGGAAUAAAGAUGUCUCUCUUCUGAGUUUUCAGUUGAGCCAAAAAAGAAAAAAAAGUGUGUGUGGGGGGUCAUUCUCUCUUGAACUUCAAGAAUUGAAGGAAGCACAUUUUUCUGGUGGAAAAAUAUGGAGCCAGUACAAGUAGGACUUUAAAAAGUGAAAAUAGAAAAGCAAAUAAUUAUGAGACUGCUUCAAAAUGUAAGGGAAGAAAAAAGAGAUUCCUUUACUCUAUCACUUUUCUUUUUGCCUCUGACUCUUUCCUUUUGCCUUUUCCUUCUCCAUUCCCAUCUUUCCUUCUUGUCUGCUACUUCAUUCCUUUUAAUCUCCUUCUUUGAUUCUGUUUAACAGUGUGAUUAUUUAUUAUUAAGAUAUUUUCUAAAUUCCGAGGUGACAAAGAGGACCAGGAGAGGUCUCCGUAGCAUGGACAUGUCUUCAAGUUAGCAGAGGACCUAGGAAGUAGAUAAACACAGAACAGCAAUGUGAGAAGCCCAUAAUAAAAUACCAUAUGGUAUGAGAACCAGAGGAAACUAGGGGCAGCUUCAUGUAAGAGAGCAGGUUUCUCCUGGGUCUUGAAAGAUGGCUAGGUAUUCAUCAAAAGGGCAAGGAAAGGAGCAUUCCAAAGAGAGGUUAGCAUGUGUAGGAGGAGUGUAGUGUAUUGGAGGUAGCGUGUCAGCUACAUUCCACUAGUAGCCCUUUCAAAGUCAGCAUGGACCCCACCUUGAAGACUGCAGCAGAGUCACCACUACCUGUUAAGUUAAUCACUUAACCUCACUGUCUUCAUAUUGCCAUUUUGCUUCUAUACCUCUUGCCAAAUGUAGUGUCUCUGACUAGUGCUCUGGUGUUCAGUUUUCUCCAGGUCUAAUUAAAACCUUAAAACCCUGUAUUUGACAGUUACAGGUCACUAAAACUGUAAGUAAAAAUGCCUCACUCAUUUUCAAGUGCUGGGACAGAACACAUGGACACUCACCAGGGAGGAUCUCUGCAUGGUUUGGAGAGCAAAUAGUCAGGUAGGUUGAGUCCCGGAAAAAUAGAGGCAUGUGCGUCUGGAAAAGCAGUGAAGGCUAGUCCAGGAUGGAUCUUGAGAAGAUGAGCUGAGAAAUAUGCUAGAGCUUGGUGUAGAGAGUGCUGGAGUAGGUAAGACAUAUAGAAUAACCAAAAUAUGAAUUCUUUGGACCCUUGUCCUCUCCAGCUUUAUGGCCCCAGCCUCAGCACAAUUUCUAACACACAGGAGUGCUCCUUUAGUGCUUGUUGAAUCAUUUAUUUCAAUAAUGUUGACUGAAGGCAAAUGGCUGAGAACUACUAUGGUUUUUACAGAAUAAAGUAAAAUUAUAAUCUGUGGAAAUAAAGCCCAUGUGAACUAUAACUCUGCUUCUUCGAAUUUAUGUAUGAUUUCUGUGCUUAAAAUUGUAAGAAUAUACAGUGAAGCCUUUGUGAAUGUCAUUGCUUUAAGGAAAGUGUUUGAAUUGGAAUCAACAGUUUAUUUUAAAAUCUACAAAAUAUACAGAAUACAUUUGCCCCAGCCCGGUUCUUUUCACCCCCAUCCCCCACUAGGCCACCUGUCUUCCUUCUCUGGCUGCUUCUCACCCCAUCCUCUGCCCAAAGCCUUGCUGACAUAUUUCAGAGUCUUUCAUUUGCAUUCUCUUCAAGGGCCUAUAUUAAUUUGACAUCAGCGGCAUUACAAUGCAGCAUGGAGAGUAAAGCACUGUUAAUAUUUAUUAUGAUGCUUUGAGUUUACAUUUACCUGAGGGAAGUUUCAAAUGCCUGCCUCAUGCCCGUCUGCAGUAAUCAUCUAUACCGAGGGCACGUCAGCUCUCUCUCCAACAUAGAGGAGGAGACCAAGACAAUCUGGGUAGCUCUUCCCACCACAGUUCCAAAGACAACAAUCUCCUAACCGGAUCAUUUUGUUAAUGCAUGUUAAAAAGCACCAAGGGGAGUUCCUGUUGAGGCUCAAUGGUUAACGAACCUGACUAGCAUCCACGAGGGUGCGUGUUCGAUCCCUGGCCUUGCUCAGUGGGUUGGGGAUCUGGCGUUGCCAUGAGCUGUGGUAUAGGUUGCAAACUCGGCUUGGAUUCAUUGUUGCUAUGGCUGUGACAUAGGCCAGCAGCUACAGCUCUGAAUGGACCGCUAGCCUGGGAACCUCCAUGUGCCAUGCAUGUGGCCCUGAAAAGACCAAAAAAGAAAAAAAAAAAAAAAAAGCACCACCAAGGAACUUAUUUUUUGGUCUCAAGCCCAUUGACCCCCCUGUAUUUAUUCUGGCAGAUUUAACUUUGUCCUCUGACCAUUGUCAGGUUGGGCUGAUAUGUCUGUAGCCCUCUCUCAGGAAUAUUGUGAAGCAGGAAAUAUUUGUCACUACCUUGUUUUACAACCAUUUUUUAGACACAUCUCUCUAUAACUCCUUACUCUAUUAUUUAAUGUCAGAUGACCCAUCAUAUGACCUUGGUCACCUCUUCAAGCUUUACCUUCUUUAUCUGUCAAAUGGUCAUAAUAAUAACUACUGUCAAGUAAAAAUCAAUCUGGACUUAGGGAGAGAAUUUAGUUAGAGGGUAAGACUGUCACAAUAGGGAGAACACUCUGAUGUCAGAAAUCUGCAGGUAUCUCAAAAUCAAACAGGUUAAAAUCAAACAGGGUAAAGGAGGGGCAAACAGAGAUAAGAAGAAUCUUGGGAGGAGAAGUGACAGGCAAGGGGACAAAACCAGUGGGGUCUGGCAGGAAAGUACCCCUCUGUUGUCAGCCGAUUCCCUUGAAAAACUGAUGAGGGGAUGAAGUUCUGCUUUUUUGGUGCUGCUCGGGCUUGAGGGUAAGCAGAGCUCAGGGCUUAUAGGAAGGAGAGAAGCUUGACUACAGACGGCUCAGAAAAAAGACAAAACAGGCAAGAAAUGUGCAAUUGUAAACAUUUGGUCAUUACUGUUGAGGACCAUUGUGGAAAUUAAAUGAGCUGUGUGUGCAAGGAGUUGAGCAUGGUGAUUGCAGCAGACCACAGAGUGGAGCUCACAGAACUCACUGAAAUUCCACGAGUCAGUAGAAAUAGGAUGCCAGCAACACUAGUCUGAUUCCUCCCUGAUUCUGAUUCCUUCUAGUGCCUCAAGGCACACUAAAGAGUCUAAGCAGGCUUUCUUGUGCAUUAUUAGGUGGAAUAUAAUUCCUGCUGAGCUGAAAAGGACCCACAGUAGGAUGAUUGCCCUAUUUGUUCCAGAGAGUUGAGAUGUAAGGUAUUCCAGGUCAGGUCUCUAUUUUUAGUACAUUUCUGAUGAAUGAGUGAAUGAAUGAAUGAAUUAAUGAAUCCAUUAUCUCAGAAGGCACAGGCUUGGCAGCACUGUGAAAUGCUGAAGGAAUUGUGCAGUAAACUACAGAGGAUGGAUGCCUUAUUGAAAUCCACUGUACUGCAGGGUAGAACAUUUUGAGAGUAGGGGGUGUUUUGGGGAAAGGUAAAGAUUCCACUGACUUUUUUUUUUUCUACAGUGAAUACUUCUGCUUUCACUGUGUCAUAUCAAACAGUAAUAACAGUCCCUAUAUGAGCUAUAAAAUUCACCCUCCAAAAAUAUAAAUUCCCCAAAAUGAAAAUCAGUAUGACGUUCUGACAGUGUACAACAGUCAGUUUAAAAUGAAGAAAAGUCCCUUUAAAAAGAAUAAUGUAUAUUCCUUUUAUUGGACAUUUUUUAACCCCAGUCCCCAUACCUACUCCUUCCUUUUUUCACCACCUUAGAAUUGAUUAAAUAUUAGAGACAUGAAUGCAGCAUAAAGAAACAAAACGGACUAAUUUCCAAAGUCCAUUUCCUAUCUUUUUUUCUUUUCUGUGAGAAUGUGACUGCUUCCAAAAAGCUUUUCCACCCUUUCUGUAGCCUAACCAGAGCUUCGUGUUUGCUAGGGAGGCCUUUGCCUCUUUUGUCGGACAUUUUUUUCUCUUGAAAUUUUCUCUGGGGUUUACCUACCUAGGAUAUCCUGAACCACGCUUAAUGUCUGAGACUUUCUAUGGCUGAUUUUUAUCAACACUCUUUGGUGCAGAGUUAUCUUUUUCUACCUGCAACAUGAAUACAGGAAGCAGGGGAGGAGAAAGUACAGGACAUCAGUGCCGAACCAAUUUAAAGUAUAGUGACCUUGCUCAUGGUGACAGAAUUAUUUGGUUCAGUGAAUGUCUAAUCUAUGAACAAUCAGAUUAGACCUCUCCAUCCUUCAUGGCAAGCAAGUAACAGGGCACAUGGGGAGAGCCCUUGAAUAUCUCAAAUAUUUUAAGGAUUGCAUAGAAUAUCUGUAAAGACUAGGACAGUGCCUAGUAUAAAGCAAGUGCUUGAUAAAUGAGAACAUUUUUUUGGGGGGUUUUCACUGAAAUUUUGUUAAGCAUUACAGUAGUUUUUCAGAUUUUCCAAGUAAACUAUCUUUUUUUUUGAAAGAACUUAAUUUAUUGUAAAUGAAAUAUAGAACUGUGAUUUUUAUGUCGCUAACAUUGUAUAUUUUAUAAUGUUAUUUUUAUAUUCAUAUGCACAUCAAAAUUAUGCUUUUCCCCACAAAACAUUAUUAAUUUGAGAUCAUUUGUAGUUUUAUGUAAUCAGUAGUUAUAAUGAGAUGGUCCUAAGGUCACUGAAAUCACUAUAGGGGUUUUCAGACUUAGCUCUAAUCAGAAUCACGUGGAGGAUGUGUUAAAACACAGAUUGCUGUGCUACACCACCAGUGUUUCUGAUUCAGUAACCUUUGGGUGGAGCCCAGUAAUUAAAAUUCCCAGGUGAAGCUGAAUGUCCAGGGAAACCCAUUUUGAGAAUCACUGCUAGUCAGAUGCUGAUGGUGAACAAUCCUCCAAUAUUCAGUUACUUUAAUUUUUCCCACCUAGUAUGUGGAAUAGAUUUUAGUAUUAACUUCAAAGAGUAAAUUUCUACUUCCUCAGCAAUCGUUUACUAAGUGUCUGUACCUCAGAUUUAUGCCCAGGUUUGUCAGAUUUAUUCCCAGAUUUGUUCCUUCAUGUUAAGAGUGAUAAAAGACUCUUUCAUUUCCUCCCAGAUAUAUAGGUUUUUAUCUCAUUUUCUGUAUGUUUAGAGAGUUACCAUCUCAUAAAAAUGUUAAAUAAUGAAGUUAGUUAUAUGUAAAUUUUUUCUCAAUAAAACUGGGCAAAAAUGAUGAUGUUAAUAAAAUCCCCCUUCCUUUUUUUUUUCUUUUUAGGGCCACACCCGAGGCAUAAUAAGGUUCUCAGGCUAGGGGUCUAAUCGGAGCCAUAGCUACUGGCCUAUGUCACAGCCACAGCAACGCCAGAUCCGAGCUGCGUCUGCGACCUACACCACAGCUCAUGGCAAUGCAGAUCCUUAACCCACUGAACAAGGCUAGGGAUUAAACCUGUGUCCUCAUGGAUCCUAGUCAGGUUUGUUACCACUCAACCACAAUGGGAACUCCACCACUUAAGUUCUUAAUGGUGUAACUACUUCCUUUGAUCCAAGCCAAGUUGUAAGGUACUUAGUGUGCUUUCCUUUUUUUUUCUUUAUAGGGCUGCACCCUCAGCAUAGGGAAGUUCCCAGGCUAACGGUCUAGUUGGAGCUGCAGCUGCCAGCCUACCCCACAGCCACAGUAACGUGGGAUCCGAGCCAUGUCUGUGGCCUGCACCGCAGCUCAUAUCAACGCUGGUUUCCCCAUCCACCGAGCAAGGCCUUGGGAUCGAACCCACAGUCUCAUGAUGCUAGUCAGAUUCAUUUUACACUGUGCCAUAACGGGAACUCCUUACUUAGUGAUUUCUAAAGAUGCUACUAAACAAGGAACUUGCUGUCAGUGCUUGUUUCUUUCUUUCUUGUAGAAGGUUAUGUUUCUAUUAAAAAUCUGUUUGAGAUAGGUUCUUAGUUUCUUGAAACAUUUCUUAUAACGGAGGAAGAGAAUUCAAGUAAAUUGCCGGAGACGUAGAAACAGCUAUCAGUAAAGCAAGUUUCAGUGCCCUUGAUGUGGGAGCCUGCAGUAUUAGCAUUGUAUGUCCUAAGGGAGUUCCAGGCAGGCAGGCAGAGCCAAGAAAAUCUUCUGUGACUUUUCCUAAAAAAUGGAUCUUCUUAAUUUAAUAUAACCUAUCAUCUUGUCUCCCUGUUUAUUUUGUAUUUUCAUCUCCAUUCUGGCUGUUGAGUAGUAUAAUCAUAUGUGAACAAUUAGACCUUCUAGCUCUGUCCAUCUGCAGGAAUAGCUCUAGGGGAGCAGAUUAGUGGUAAUAACAGUCUCAGUAAUAUAACCUUACAGACAUCCACCUAGAGCCUGAAGGGACAGAGCUGCUAUAGGGUUGGGGGGACCACUGCAGGAAGGAAGUCCCUGUGGUAAAUUGAGAAAGUAAUUAAUUAGAUAGCGUUUGCUGCUCAUGCUUUAGAAAUACAAGUUAGAUCAGAGACUGGAAGACUUGGGAAAACCCCAUCUCUUCUAUCCGGGUUAUCAAGCUUGGGGAGAGAGGAGUGAAGACAGAAGAGCUGAUGUAGAUAGGGAGUUGGCACAGAAUUCCCUGAUAGACCAAAUGAGAACCAUUGUGCACUUGUCUGUGUGUUAUUUUGCUGUGACCUGAAUUUUGCUGUGGAAAGUUUCGGUAUAAAAAGCACUGGGGGAGGGUGUUUCAAAACAGAAGCUAGAAAUAGAAGAAAGCAAAGGAAAUUUGUGCCAAGAUCAGAAAAACUGACUAAUUCGGUAAUCCUACAAAGAUUUUACAAACCAGCAGUUACUUUUAGAGGUGAAUUCCAGCAGGUGAUGGAGGAAGGUUCAAAGAGCUUCCUCUAACACUAAUCCUUUUGCUCUGCAGUGGCCUUCAGCUUUGCCAGAGUCCAUUGGACUAACAUGGCACUGGAGGUCUUUGUGAAACUCCCCUUUAUGAUCUCCUCUUGGCACUUAAAUAUUUAACUAAGCCUCCGUCGGUGGGGGCUAAGAAUCAAGAGUGUAAUAAAAAAGUCUGUUCUUCCAAUUCUAUAUAACAGUCUACAAACAAUGCCAAGAAUCCUAUUAGAGUUAUCGUUUUGGUGCUAUAUGGAGAUUUAGAAAUAAAUAACAGAAGAAAUUGUCUUAGUGUGAUGAAAACAGUGUCCUAAUGAUGAAAACUUAGAAAGGAUUGGAAAGUAAAGUUCCCUAAUAAACUGGUUCUGGAAAAAGACCAUUUAAAGAAUCCCCGAGUCCUCUUUAUCUUGGCACCAGCCUCCAGAAGAAAUGGUCUGGUAGAGAAGGCAGAGAGAGUUAGGAAUCUGAGCAGAUACCUAUGUGAGAGCUGGCUUUAAAGGCACCAAUAAUUCCCUUUUUUAUUAAGUAUAGGUCUGUAAAUAAGUGUCUUUCUCCUUCUACUCAGCUCCUCCAGAGCAUUUACAGCUCCUUAAUUAGACAUAUGUCUGCUAUUUAUUACCAUUUAAAAGGGCAAGUGGUUGAUUUCCCAUUGUUGAAAAUUCCUAGUAAUUAAUAAUUAACUAAAUAAGUACAGCUCCUUUUCUACCUACCUCAUCUUUGGUUGUCUCCCUGUAUUUAUACAUUAAUAUGUAGUAAUUAAAUGAUGGUAGGAAAAGUGCCUCGGAGCUAGCCAAUGGCAUCAGCAUAGCAAUGGAUUUAUUGCUCACCCUUCCUGUCUUAAUUAGUUCUAUUUCUAAAGGAGAGGAUGGAGGAGUUGAUUCUACCUGUUGCCUUCACUUCUCCACGACAGUUUCCCAUACAUAUAAAUUGGAGCAGAUUACUUUACCUUUCGUCUCUAAAAGGCAAGUGUGAUGAGUGAAAACUACAGACUCCAUCAUGCAAAGAGACUUCUUGGUGCUCAUCAAAAAAAAAAAAAAAAAAAAAAACUACUUAAAGAUAAGUUUCAUUUCCCUGAGAUGUUCCUCAUCGGUAAAAAAGGAAGAUGACUAACGUCACUGUAAAGUACCUUUGCACCAAAUUUGGCCUGGAAAUUAUGCAUUGUCCACGCUUAUGUAUUGUGCUUGAGGGAUCCAGAGGGAAAAUGCUGAAUGAACAGCUGGUGGUAAAGCUUUUACUGUGUCUUGUAACAAUGUCGAUGAUAACCUAAAGCUUUGUACUUAAAAGCUUCUCUAUCUAACAAACAUGGAGAGCUUUACAUAUGAUAACUCAUUAGAGCUCUCAACAUUCCUUCAAGGGAACUAGGAGGCAACUAUGAUCUUUGGUGUGCAGAUGGGGAAACUGAUGUAGAAGAAGGGCCAGAAUGCUUUUUCCAUUUCUGCGCAAUGACUGAGCAGAAGUCCUGGGAGUAGAGUGCAUGUCUCCUGACUGAAGCCUGUCUGGGUAGGCACUGGACCACAUACUUAAGGAGGAAUCUUCUGAGAGAAGGACUUUAUUUACAACUAAAGCAAAGGAAGAUUUGUGCUUUAGUAGUCAUUAUGUGUCUGAGUAUCAGUAAGCUAACUCAUUUUCAUACUGCUAAUUGUUAUGCUUUUUGUAGUUAUUAAGCUUCUGUUGUGAUAGAAAGAUCAUUGCUUUGGAGUCAGAUAAACUUAGCUACUUAACUAGCUGUGAGACAUUGUGCAAUCUUUCUAACCUCUCUGAGCCAAUAAAAUGGAGGAAAUACUAUCUAUGAUACAUGGUGGCUACAAGGAUUAUAUGCCUACUUUUACUAUGCCCAUAGUUGGGACUGGAUGUUUGUCAAUGCAUUGAACACAAAUGUAAAGUUCAUACCAGUCCUUAAGGUGUGAUUAAAUUCCUAGGCAGGAAAGCUCAAUUUAAUACCCACUGCUGCUUAUUAAUAUAAAAAGCCCAAUAUGGAAGGAUGCUAAAUAUCCUUCCUCAUUCAGAUUUCACUUUCUGAAGUUACACACUGUAGCUUUGCCCAUUUCAAAUAAACUCUCACUUUAGUGAAUUUCCCCAAAUGAAGAAACAUUAUUUCUGCACUUACAGAACAGACACAUGGUCUUAACAUCAUUUGCUUUUUUACACUCACUUUUACUACUUUCCUAUAUAGCUUUUUAUAGAAAUCACCUUUUCUAUUAUAAACAAUGUGUACUCAUUAUAUAAAAUUUAGGUUACACAAAGCUGUGUAAAGAAGAAAAACAUUAAUAGCAUUUGGUAUUUUUCUUUCACGAUUUCUUCCAUGAACAUAUUUCUUUAUAGAGCCCAUAUUUUAUCCUUCAUUAGUUUAUAAGAAGUAUUGUGACAGGAAGUUUAUUUAAUGGCUACUCCUCAAUAAAUUUGUAUCAGGUUCUUAUAUCAAUUUCUUAUCCACUGUGAUUCAUGUAAUAGUAUAUUUUAAUACUUGAUAAAAUAAAACUUAUUUAGAGUCUGGCUUCCUAGAAGCUUAUGCUUGGCAGAGUGUUCCUAAAAUGGGUCCCUCUGCUGAAUGAUAGUUGGACCUGGAGUUAAGAACAAAUACCUUCAGUGGCCACCUGGGAAGCUGGGCUUAAGUAGGCACUGGCCUCUGGAUUGCUCCUGUCAUGCUCAAUUUACAGAUCCUAGCAUGCAAAUUCAUCAUUUUACAUGACAGGGCAAAUCAGGCAUGCAGAUCAUGCACCACAGUCAUGAAGAGUGAUACAUGAACAAUAACAGUAUCGUAAGACUGAACGAGGGGCAGCCUCACAAGUUACUAUUUGAUUUUGUGCAUCUCCUCAAGCUAUACUUACACCUUCCUCAUAACAUAAACAUUUGUUGCAAAAGCCUGAAGAUAGGGAAUAUAACUUACUUUAUCCUUCCUGGAAAAAAAAUAAUAAAAAAGCAAAACUUAACAAAACUAAAUGGCACAGGGGUUUUUUAAAGGCUUGCUACCAUUGUGAGUCAUGAUUUAAGAUUUGUAGUAAUCAGCCUUGAGAUUCAACUAAGGGUCAUCAAUUGCUAUUGACUAAAGUCUUUUAAUUUUAAUUACCUUCCCAUUUCUGAAUCCAAUAACAAAGCUAUUUCUGCUAUGUUCAAAAUAGUCUCACCUCAGUAUCUGCUUCACAUAGGUAUUUGAUGGAUGCAUGGUUGGAAAGACACACACAUAAAUAAUACACUGGUGUAGACAAGUAGGUGGAAGAUGAAUAUAGGGGGAACACAUGCAUGGAUGAUGAACUGAUGGGGAAUGUACUCUGUGUUCCCUUCACUGAUAGAUAUGCAUGGUUAUCUUUUUAUCAGUCUUCUGGAAGAACUUGAAAUUUAAAUUUAAAAAAAUUCAAUUAGUGAAGGCAGAAAGUUAAAUUUUCUUCAUACUCUCACAGUAGAUGCUUUGAGAAUCAAAGACGGUGGCUUCAGAAUUGCAAAAAAGAGCCAUCACUUGUCUUUUCUUUCUUUAUAUCCUUUACUUUUCAUAAUUUCUUUUAACUUUGCUUUCUCCCUCUCCUUUGACCUCUUUUUAGCUUUCAUCUUGCUUUUCUUUACUCUUAUAUAUUCUACUGCUCUAUUUGCUAAUCUUUACUUGCAAUGUCCCUGUUCCCCUCCUCAUUUUUUUCCACCUAAUAUCUGUCAAAAAAUGACCAAACAUUUACUUUAGUUUUUGCUUUUUAUUGUUGGAUUGCAAAGUGAAAGAACAGGAGAAGGUAGAUGUUUAGAGAAGAGAUAUGAGGGCUUUCUAAAUUUCCCAUUUCUCCUCUCUCUUGGAAUAGCAGACAUUUUCUAUCUAACUCCUAUUCAAUGAAUAAGAAGAAGAUGCAUAAAAAUGGGAAGCUGAAAUAUACUUGUUUGCUUUAAAUAUGUAUAAUAAAUAGGAAAGGCAAAUAACCAAUGUCAGCAGAGUAAUAGAGGGGGUUCCAUGAGGCUUAAUGAAGAAGGAAGGAAUCAAAAAAGGUUUCAUGAUGAUAUUGAUAUCAUUCCUCCUGAAAGAGGGCCAUGGCUCCAAGAAUUUAAAUCUAGUAACUCUUCAGUGCUACUUACUGAUUCCAGGCUCUACUUUAUAUUGUAUACUUUAACCUAUAUCUAGCAAUGUGAUGUCCAAGGUAUAAAAAGUGGUGGGUAUUUGGAUAUAUCUCUCUAUAUGUUAAUUUAUUCCACAUUGGUAUGUGUGGCCUGUACUGCUUCAUGUAGUAUAUCCCUAGAGUCUUCCAAACCUCAAAUAAACAUUUAUUCCAAGUAAAAAAGGAUGCUGGAUACCAUGUUGUUUGUUGACCCUUCUUUUUUCUUUUUUCUUCUUCUUCUUCUUCUUUUUUUUUGCAGAUAUGCAUGUUCAGAUUUUAACCAGAACUAAAUAAGAAUAUAAAAAUAGAUAGAAAUUUAACUGUCAUGAAAAAAUUGUGUCAUUUGAAUUUGCCAGCAAAGUGAAUGUAGAGAAAACCCAAGAACUUCAUAGUUUAUAUUUGGUACCUGAGAGUCUAGAUGAAUGUUUAGACUCAGACACUAAUAAGAAACUCAAAUUUUACUUGUUUCUAGUUUGUCCAACUUUGUAUAGUUCUUUCUGUUCUCCCCAUACUGGUUCACACAUGUAUCCUUUCCCACAGAUCUGAAGAGUGGACUCUACUCCUGCUCAGUUAUUAACAAACUGCACCAUCUUGUGAAGGUUUCACAUUUUUGGAUUCAGAAUCUUCACCUGAGGGGGAAAAAAGGAUUAAUCUGUAUACCUCCAACGAGCCUUAUAGUUUUAAAUAUUUGAGUCUCAUUUUUAAAGUUCUUUUACUGUAUACAUAGCACUCUUGAUCACAGAAGUGCUCUUUUGAAUGGAGUUUUGCUUUUUUGUCUUUGCUCUUUACUUGUUCAUUUAAAGUCAAGAUGUAAUGCCAUCUCUGACUAUUUAUCAUAUUGGAACCAUUUCAAAUUGCUGAUAUGUUUGUUACAAUCAGUGAGUAAGUCAGAUAGAACAUCUCAAAGAGUGGCAUUUUUGAAAUCCAGACAGAAGAGUCCCCAUCACUGUCUGUCUCCCAGACAGUCCUCACCUAUCUUCCGCUCCUAUCAGGAAGAUAAGUAAAUGGCUCAUCUUCUCCAUACAAAUAAUUUAGUAGCUUGUCUGUCUAGAAGGUAAUGACAUAGAUCCGCCAUUCCUGCAAUUUUGAUAGUGUAAUAUAAUAGGAUAUAAGACACCCCCAGACUGCAAUCCAGACAGCCCUGUUGCUAAGAGUGGUAAACUACUCUGAUCUCCUACUCACAGAAAUAUCCUGGUCAGCAGCACUCAUCUUGCUUAUUCUUUGACUUUUUUGAGUUGCCUACUUCUAGGAAGUAAAUGUGGUAUUUUAAAAUGCCUAUUUCAUAGAUAGUCCAAUUUGAAUAAAAACUAUUAACCCUGAAUUCAGUGGUUUGGGGCUGUUUUUAUCACCAUCUCCCACUGAUUCAUCUCUUUUCAACAAAUCCCUGUCUUGUAAAUGUUAACAUACCUAAAUCCUAAGUUGCAUUAUUAUAUCAACCUUGGACAUUAGAAAAUGAGAGAGUAAGAGGGAGAGAAAUAGAAUUGCCAUAUGCUUAAGUACUACGUACAAGACAAGAAGAAAAUUUCUCCUGAAAAGUAUGAUCUGUAUUUCUUCUAUAAAUUAAGAACAUGGCUUUUUAUAUUUAAUCCAACAAAGACAGUUCUGUCCCCUUCCUUAGAAUCAUUUGAUCUGUCUGAAGUUAGCUGAUAAGAAGGAAAAAAGUAUAUUUUAUUCAACUAAACUGGAGUACUUCUUUUGUGAUCUAUAGAGAGAUACAGAGUAAUUGUGUUCAUUCUCAUUAUCCUUAUCCUCAUUAUCCUCAUCCCCAUCAUUAUUGUAAUAAUAAUGAUAGAAUAUUUUCCUUUAACUGUACAGUUAUUUGCAUUUAUCAACCCAUUAUUCCUCCAUCCAUUAAUUUCACAUGUGUUUUCUGUACAUAUACUUUCCAUAAGGCAUAGUGCAGGAAACCUGGAACUGCUGUCAAGGAGUUUAUAUUGACUAUUCAAGCCAAUUAGGUCUAGUAAUAAUUUGCUUAAUUUACUUUAUUAAAACUCUAACAGAACAGGCAGAAGUUAAUAUUGUCUGAGAUAUAAAGAACAGAGGGAAAUUCGAUUUUGUAGGCACUGAGGCAUUGAAUCUAAAACCUGCAAUCAAUAUAAUCAUGGAUAGAAUAUCCAUACACAUUCUUGCUAUUAAAACCCCACAAUAACAUUUCUAGUAGUGAACUUUUACCAUGUAUUUCUUUCUUUUUUUCUUAUGCUAGCAGUUCAAACUUUGGAAGAAAAAUGCUUUUAUAUUAAAUGUCUUUUUUUUUUUUUCUUUUUAGGGCCACACCUGCAGCAUACGGAAGUUCCCAGGCGAGGGGGCCAAUUGAAGAUGCAGCUGUUGGCCCACAACACAGCCACAGUGCCAGAUCCCAGGUGCAUUUGUGACCUACAUUGCAACUCACAGCAAUGCUGGAUCUUUAACCCACUGAGCAGGGCCAGGGAUCAAACCUGCAUCCUCAUGGAUACUAGUUGGGUUUGUUACCACUGAGCCAUGAUGGGAACUCCUAAAUCUCUUAUUUUUAACAUGUAAAUAAUUCUAAGCCAAUCAAGUUUUGAAAUUUUUCAUGUGUGUAAUCAGUCGUGCAUGAGAGACAUUUAUUGCAUUAAUCUUAAGUAAAUAUGGAAACUGAUAAACCCAUAUGUAUUCAGCACAAGUUUUUUUGAGAGCACAUAGAAUCAUUUCAAUCAGUUUUAACUAAAUUUUAAUAAUGUGGACAUGAUUAAUGUAUGCUUUCCAAGCUGUAGAUUGAUUAUAUUUGGACUGAGGGAUUUUUUUUUAAUUAAUUAAUUUAUUUAUUUAUUUUUGUCUUUUUGCUAUAUCUUGGGCCGCUCCCAUGGCAUAUGGAGGUUCCCAGGCUAGGGGUCGAAUUGGAGCUGUAGCCACUGGCCUACGCCACAGCUACAGCAAUGUGGGAUCCGAGCCGCGUCUCCAACCUACACCACAGCUCACGGCAACGCCAGAUCCUUAACCCACUGAGCAAGGCCAGGGAUCGAACCCGCAACCUCAUGGUUCCUAGUCAGAUUCAUUAACCACUGAGCCAUAGCGGGAACUCCGGAUUUUUUUUUUUAAUUAAUUAAUUUAUUUUUUGUCUUUUUGCUAUUUCUUUAGGCCACUCCCAUGGCAUAUGGAGGUUCCCAGGCUAGGGGUCGAAUCGGAGCUGUAGCCACCGGCCUACGCCAGAGCCAUAGCAACCCGGGAUCCGAGCCGCAUCUGCGACCUACACCACAGCUCACAGCAACGCCGGAUCGUUAACCCACUGAGCAAGGGCAGGGACCGAACCUGCAACCUCAUGGUUCCUAGUCGGAUUUGUUAACCACUGCGCCACGAUGGGAACUCUGGAUUUUUUUUAAAUAGCUUUUAAAAAUAAACAAAAUAUUUUCCAUAUUAAUCUAGCAUCAGUGGUUGACACAUAAAGUGCUCAACAAACAUAAAUAGUAAAAGCAACCUCUAGGGUGCAUAUCUAGGUGUUUAAAUGCAUUUGUGGUUGUUUUCAUGGAAGUGAAAAUCCGUUGUUCAUUGUUUACAACUCUUUACCAGUCCUCCACCUCUAGUUGAACUGGCUUUGAGUGGCUGCCUUAACUUGGUUUUAGGUUUAGACUUCCUUUUUUUUUUCUCACUUCCACUUUUAACUCACUUGAUUAUUCCUAUUGCUUCUAUUCAUGCAAAUGUAGUUCUCCAGUCUUUAUAUUUUUGCCUUUCCUGACAGGAGUUAUUGAGAUAGAAAUGGUAUCUGUCUUCAUGGAGAUUUCAUUGUGUUCCGUGGUUUAUUCUCUAAAACUUUCCCAAGUUGCUACCCCUUAAAUGAAAUGUAUUUCAUCUCCCAAAUGUCAAAGAAUUUUCUUUAAAGGAGACACAGGUUUCUCUUAGAAUGAUGAUUAUAUGCACAAAAUGAAAUAAUGAAUUCAUAAUUUGGAGUAAUAGAGAAGAAAUGGUACACAUAUAAAGAAAAAUAGAAAAGAAGACAAAGACCUGUGUUAUAUGCCUACUUGUAAGUAUUUGGGGACUCUUGGAUAAUUACUUAACCUGGGUAGGCCUUAGUCUUCUUAUCUAUAAAAUAAGAGGUUUGCGCUAGUUGGCCUAUAAUGCCUCUUUUAAGUUUUGUGGACAACAAAAUCUGCUUCCUACUGGCUUAAGAAAAAAUAAUUGUCUUUGGGAAUAUGAAUGAAAAUGACUUCAGGAUGCAGUGGGGUCUAAUCUUCUAACUUUUGUGCACUGCUCUCUCUUAUUUUCUUUCUCUUUACAUCCUGUCUUCAUUUUUUUUUUCUCAUGUUUGACUUUCUCCUUCUGCUCAUUGGCUUUUUCUACAUACCAGAGGACCACAGGGUUGCUGGCAAUGCUGAACUUACACCCAUAAUUAUAGAGUUUACGACCGUAAAGGAGAGAAAACUACAUGCCAACACCAUCCAGAAAAUCUCUGGAAAUAAGAUUAUCAUUAGUCUCUGUUUAUUUUCCAGCAAACUGUCCACAAGCCUCUUGUCCCAGAAUAACUAUUAAUAACACUGUCUUUCACUCUCAUAAGUCUAGUUUGGGCAAUGAAUUCUUUUAUCACUGUACCUUGGAGGAGACCGAUAAACUUGGUAGAUUUCAUGCCCUCUCUGGAGUAAUCACUAUGAUCAGAGGAAUGAAACACAUUGAUUAGCCAUAUCUGGAUCAUAUACUAACAGUUGAGGCCAGAGACUUGGAGUAAUGUGAUUGGCCACUCCAUUUGAAACACAGGUGGGUAAGAAAGAAGCAGUCUUUGAAAGUAAGAAACUGGUGAAAAGCAUAAAGAUGUACUUAAUACACAAGUGAAACACACUUAGGUCCAUUCUGUCAGGAUGGAGUACAAAGUAUAUGCAAGGAAAGCUGAAUAGAGACACAGUAGAUGGAGUUUUAUAGCAUCUAAUAUUUCAUGAAAUUGAUUUAUCUUUUAAAACUAAAUAUAGUCAUAGUGCAUACUGUAAGUAAAUCAACUCAGUUAUGCAUAUAUUUGUACAUAUAUAUAUAUCAAUUUGAUUUAAUGUCCAUAAAUAGCAAUCUAAUUAUUUAAAAUCAUGGUUAUGUUUGUAUUUCUAUAGGAAUAUGAACAUAAGACCUUAACAAACAAAGAUCUUAACAAAGAUAGUUUAAACAAAGAUCUUAGGGAUAUUUUUGUUUGUAUUUAAAUUUUUUUUCCCUUACUUCUAGUCAUUGAAGAACUAAGAUAAACUGAUUUUAAAUUAAAAAGCAGAUUUUUCUUUUCCCAUCCUGGCCUGUCCUCAGCCAGCAGUUCCACAGGAUGACAGUUUUCAGGAAGAGUCAAGAUCUUUCUUAAAUGAAAAAUGAUUAUUCAUCAUAAUAAAAAUGUACACAGUACCUUAAUGAGUAGAUGUGCUAAUGUCUAUUCACUCUUUAGACAUAUUAGACUAAAUUUGUUUUUUAGCCCUAACAUGCACAAUCACAAAUAAAAUGCUUAAUUAUCGCUUUAAAAUAGCAUCAUAUCAGCUGCUUUUACAGUAUAUUUAGGUUAUGAGUCACCGAAUGUUUUUCAAAAUGACAAGAGUGAAAUGUAUUAUUGAAAAAUGACAGUGGUUGAAUUUUCUAUUUUGGUUUUCUAUUUUGGGUAAUGGAAGCAUGAAAUAAGAUUCUACAUGGAGUAGCAAGUGGUUUAAUUCUUUUCACAAAAAAAUUAACUACCUAUUACAUGUACAGUAUAGUUCUAAGCAGUGAGGACACAAAGACAUUAAGACUUAGCUUCCGAUCUCAAGACCACAAUCUACGGAGUGAAUAGAUUUGUAUAACUUUGCACAUAUAUAUGAGAUGUUAUGUGGCAGAACAUAUGUAAUCUAUAGCUGGUCUAUUGUCCAUGAAUAGUAAUAGUUGAUUAUUAGUGUGAGCUGCUUUGCUCUGAGGUAUUCAGAGGGAGAAAAAACUAAUUUUGCCCAAAAGAAGAGUCAGGAUCUGGUUAGAUAUGAUUUGCAAGAGAAGAUUAGGCAUGAGUUUUGAAGGAUUAGAAGGGGUGAUCAAGUCAGCAAGUGAGAGUAUAGGGUGAUGUAUAGGUGUAGAGUAUGGUGCAACAAGUUUUACCUAACCAAUGUUUCCUGGAUUUUAUGUGGAAGCUGUGAGAUAUUCAGCGUGUAAUAGAGUACAGAGGAAUAUUAAAUGACCAACAAUUCAUUUGAAGUUGUUACCCUGUUCAUGUCCCAGAUAUUCUGUAAGCCAGCGUUGGAAAAUACAAGGCUAGAGCAGAACUACAGCACUGCCAUCACUGAACCUUCCUUUGGGGGACCUAUUUAGAAAGCACAUAAUUCCAUUCUAAAGGUGAGGGUGAGGAGAUGGGACAUUAUUUGCUUAUAGGUCCAUCUCAUGACAUUUGUACAUAGGUGACUAUAGCAAUGGGAUCAGCCAUCAUAGAGAUCUAAAGAAAAGCAAAUAAAUUACUAAGAAAAGAGUCAAAAGUGGAACAUGAAAAAAAAUGCACUCAGAAAAAAAGUAGUGCCUAAAAGAAACAAGGGGAGUUCCAGUCCUGGCUCAGCAGUUAGUGAACCCGAAAAGCAUCCAUGAGGACGCAGGUUUGAUCCCUGGCCUCACUCAGUGGGUUAAGGAUCCACUGUUGCUGUGAGCUGUGGGGUAGGUUGCAGACACAGCUUGGGUCCAGCAUUGCUGUGGCUCUGAUGUAGGCCAGAGGCCUCAACUCUGAUUCAACUGCUAGGCUGGGAACCUCUGUAUGCCUCGGGUGUGACCUUAAAAGACAAAAAGACCAAUAAAUAAAUAAAUUAAUUAAAAAAACAAGGUCAGAAGUGGCUAAAAGUGGUGCUGAUGUUGGCAAGCCAGGCAUGAAAGAACAUGCAACUUUUAAGGAUGCUUAAUGACAAUGCCAAAUGUUGACACACCUCCAAACUGAAGUAGGCUGUUGGGAGAAAGGGAAAUCUCAUCAGAAGAUUAUAUACCAGCAGUGCCAAGUAAGAACAAAAUAAAUUAGCCAGCUAGUUUCUUCUGGAAUAUAUGGGGAAAGCAGAGAAAUUGAAGAGCUCUUUUGCAAGUUGUGAAAAGUAUUAGUCUAGCCUUAAUCGUCAGUCCACAGAUUUUCCUCAGUAGUUCAGAAGGAAUGAAGCAUAGAAAAUGAUUUGAGCCAGAAUUCAGCUUUACUGCUCUGAUUUUGCAUCUUUUCUUCGCUCUUCUAUUUCCUUUCCUCGCUUCUGGCCAUCAAGGAACAUGUACAUCCAGCACUCUAAAUACAUAGUCUCUUGCCAUAUCUUGCCAGUUCUUUCUACAUAAAUGAUCCCAAGACAUGAAGGUCAAUGAGAUGUCAGAGUGGGUAGUUCAUGUAGACUUUGGGCUAUGGUAAUUAGCUUUUGCUCAGUGAAGUCUACAUGUGCGGAUCAGAAGGGAUUCUUUCUCUCCCUGACUCCACAGAGCAAUGUAACUUCAACCAACAGAGUUAGAAGGGAAGACCCAGGCACCAUAUUUCUCAUAGCCAGCAGGUUUUUUUUCCCUCUGUAUUGACAAAGCCCCUGUUUUGUUACUAAUUCUUGUCUGUGGUUUUACUGGUUUGCCCAUUUCUAUUUUUUUGUUUAUUUUAUUAUUUUAGUUUAUUAAUGAUUUUUUUUUUUUUUUUUUUUUUUUUUUUUUUUAGGGCAAUACCUGCAGCAUAUGGAGGUUCCCAGGCUUAGGGUCAAAUCAAAGCUAUAGCAGCUGGCCUACACCACAGCCACAGCAACACCAGAUCCAAACCACAUCUGUGACCUACACCACACCUCGUGGGAACGCCAGAUCCUUAACCCACUGAGCGAGGCCAGGGAUCAAACCCACAACCUCAUGGUUCCUAGUCAUGUUCGUUUCUGCUGUGCCAUGAUGGGAACUCCAUGGAUUGCCCAUUUCUAGUACCGCUUCUCUCCAUCUGAUCUUAACCAUUUUGCCUCAUUACCUUUCUUCUUUUUUAUGAUGUUUUCUGCAGUGUUUCCCCAAAUUCAUUUCUUUAACAUCUCUCAGAUCUGCCCCUCUUGUUUUCCUCCACAUCAUCACUGCCCUGACUCAGGCCUGUGCUGUUUCUUGCUUGUGUCAUUGAAAGAGCCUCCAACAGGAUUCAAUGUUCAGCAUUGUCUUUCUUGUCUUUUCUGCAUGCCGUAGGCAGAGCUUUCUAAGUGCAGAUUCUACUUUAAUUAUAUCAUUGCUUUUCUUAUAAUAAUACUUCAGUUGCUCCCUAUUAUUCUUAGAAUAAAAUUAGACUUUCUCCCAAAGGCAAACAAAUCCUUUGUAAUCUUGCCCUUACUUGUCUACUUCCCCAGUCUCAUUUUAUUUUAUUUUAUUUAUUUAUUUAUUUAUUUAUUUAUUUAUUUUUUAAGGCUGCACCCACAGCAUAUUGAAGUUCCCAGGCUAGGGAUUAAAUUGAAGCUAUAGCUGCUGACCUAUGCCACAGCCACAGCAACGCCAGAUCCAUGCUGCAUCUGUGACCUACAUCACAGCUCUAGGCAAUGCUGGAUCCUUAACCCACUGAGUGAGGCCAGGGAUUGAACCCACAUCGCCAUGGAUACUAGUUGGAUUCGUCCGCUGAGCCACGAUGGGGAGUCCCCCAGUCUCAUUUUAAAUUAUCUUCUCUUACUUUCUUCUUUCCCCUCUGCCUUCCUCUUGCUUUCCAAUCCACUUGAAAUUCAACUACACUGACCUUCCUCCAUGUCCUCCAAUGUAUAGUUUUCUCUUUCAUCGUUCUUUUUCCAACCCUUACUCUGUCUACUAACUCCAACUCUUCCUUCAGUCUUAAUCCCAGCUUUUACUCCUUCAGCCUCCCCUGACCCACCAGUGGUCUUGGUUACGUAACCCGUAUACACUCAACACUGUCUGUUGGAUUCAUUUAUUUCACUAUGUUUCUCCCUUUAAAGGCUGCAAAUUCCUUGAGCACAGUGAUGUUUUAUUCAUCUCUACAUUUAGUCCAGAGGCUGGCAUAUAGGUACUUUAAAACAUGAAUAGUCCUUUUAUGCUGAGAUGAUAUUCAAGAUGCUUACCUUCUAAAUUAAAGAUCUCUUCUCUGAUUCUAGCAGUUACCAAAUAUCCUUCACUCUUCUUAAGUGUGUAUUUCUAAAGUUUCUCCAAACACAUUAAUUCUUUUGGUGAUUUUCCUAUGUAGCCUAGGGAUUAUAUGGUCCAUGGGACAUCUCUCUCUCUCUCUUUAAUAUAAACAAAAGUUCUUAAAUCCCUCUGUCCUUCCGCAAGCCAUGUGAGAUAAUGAGGAAACUCAGUAAGAGACACAUGGUCUCUGAUCACACGUGGUCAUCUUGUAACAUCUUCCCUCUCCUUCUCCUCAUUUAUCGCCUCCUGAAUGAGCACACAUUCUCUGUGCUAAGUUUUUUUCCUUAACUGUCUUUUUGUUAAACGAACAUCUACUGAGCAAAUACUAUGAAUGAGUCAGUGUUAUUAUAUUAAGUAUAUAAUUGUCAAGCUCAGGAUUAAAAUGUAGUAUUAUAAAGGCUAAAUAUGUCUUUAUGUUUUAAAUGUAUGGUUUAUAGUUCUUUACUUUUUUUUGCAUUGGAUUGUAAAGUUUGGAAUAAUAAAGAUUAUUUUAUUUACCAAUCCUGUAUCAUAUUUCCACAACCAGGUUAUAGAAUAAAGAGAUAGAUAGCCAAAUCUAUUUUAGAACCUAAAUAUUCACAGAGAAGAAAGGAUGAGGGAAAUUUACAAAAUAACAUAUAAAGCCCUCAGGUCAAAGGCAAGCAUCAGAGCAAGUUUAAAGGUGUGUGUGUACCCAAGGCAAAAAGAGUUUCAGACCUUUCCUGUGGUUAUGUAUGUAACCAGUGUCUGAGUUUGACCUGGAGCGAGGCACAUACAACUAUCUAUGCCAGAGGAGAAAUGCACUUUCUUUGAGUAGUGCCUUUCUCUGAAAUUUUUUUCAGAGCAAUUUCCAUUUAUUUUAUACUUUACUCUUAGUGAGACCUUAUUUCCUUCUUGUUCAUUCUCAAUCAUUUAUUCAUGUCUUCAUCAAAAUAAUAAUUGAGCAUUCACUUCUGGACUGGAAAUAUUCUGGCAGUGGGCAAUAGAGCAGUGAACAGAACACACAGAAAUACCUACCCACAAAAUAUUUAUGUUCUAGUGGAGGGAGAUAGACAAUAAUAGAGAUAAAUAAGUAAUAUUUUAGAAUGUUAGGUAGUGAUAAGUACUCUGGAGAACAAAAAUUAAGUGGAAAGGUUUAUCCAAAGGUGUAUCGCCAAAGGAGUUUGUAGGUGCAAUUUAAAUAGAGAAAAGCACUCCAGGCUGAAGGGACAGCAAAGGAAAAUACCCUGAGGUAAUGAGUUUUUGUGGAGUAUUCCAGGAGGCAAGGAGGCCAGUGCGCUGUAAUGCAGGGAGUGGUGGAAAGAGGAGAUAAAGAGAUAAUGGUCUAUAGGGCUUUAUAGGUCACUGUUCAGAGUUGUGUACUUACCCUGUUAAGACUUUGAUGUUAACUCUAAAGUGUGAGGCCAUUGGAGGGAUUUGAGAAGAUGAAAGGCGUGACCUGACUUAUGUUUCCAAAGGCCCUCCUGGCUCUUAUGUUGAGAAUGGAUUGAUGCAUGCAGGAUGGAAGCAAGGAGACCAGUUCAUUCACAUAUUGUGUAAGAGUAUUGUAAUAGGAGAAGGAUGAUGGUGGCUUGGCAAAAGUGAUAGCAAUGGAAGCAGAAUAAGUGAUCACAUUUUGGAAUUGUUCUGAUGAUAGAAGUGAUAUGAUUUCAUGAUGAAUUAGAGAUGGACAAUGACAGAAAGAUGAAUCCAAGGUGUUUCAGCAUGAACAACCAAAAGAAUGGAGCUUCCAAAAGUUGAGAAAAAGAAAAUUAUGUGAGGGGCAAAUUUUAGAGGGAAAAGAUGGGGAGUUUUGUUUUAGAUAUAGUAAGUUAGAUUACCUGUUAGAGAUUUCCAAGGGGAGAUGUUGAGUAGAUGGAUGUAUAAAGAAGUCUAGGGUCCAGUGGGAGCUGUUCAGGAUGGAGAUUUGUUGAAUGUGGUAAUAGAUAUUACAGGAAAUAGAAAGUAGCUCUAAAAUACCAUCUUUGCUUUCUAGAAAUGUGUGCUCUACUGACUGGGCAUGUUAGAUACAUAAAAGUAAUUAACAAAUAAUGUAAAGUAGUAGAUGUAAUAUAUCUAUAAAGUGUGGGUAUCAAAAUGAGUGCUGGUGUAGGAGGUACAGUAAUCCCUCAGAGAAGUGUACAUUUAGGGAAAGGUCUGGUGAGAAGUCGAGAUUUGAAGUAGCUUGGAAGCAUGUGUUAAAUUUCACUGAUUACAAAGGGGGGAGAGGUAUCCCAGGCCCAGAAGGUACAAAGUGAGAACAACACAAAACUCUUGAAACACAGAUGAGAUCUUCCCAUCUGUGUGGGAUGUAUGUAUAGAAAUCCCAAAUUAGGCCACACAGUGUAGAAUUGCUGAAGAAGGGAUGUUAAUUUGACCUGGCAAGAAGUAUCCCUAGAGUUUUCUGAAUUAGCAAGUAACAUAUGCAAUACAUUGUUUUCAGUAAAUGAAACCUGCCGCCAUCUUGAAGUUAAUCAGUUCUGCAGAUCCAGCUUUGAUAUUUCCUCUAAAAUAUUGUCCAUCAGAAGCCUGAAGCCGAACUGAUAGGAAAAGAUGUCUAAUUUCAUAGGUGUGAAGUACUUUCAUUGUUUUAAAAUAGAAAUAGAUCUAAUUGAUCUAUAUAUGUACAAUUUAUGUGAAAUUAUUAUCAUGUUCCCAGGUUUGCACUUUUGAUCAUUUGGAAGCAGUUAUAUUAAUGUUAUGAAUUUGGGUAGUCUGGGAUAAUGUGUAUCUUUUAGCUCUAGGCAAUCUGUCUUUCUACCCUAUAAGAAAAUUGGCAGUUUUCUAUUGGCCAGUAAAAACCAUCCUGCAGAAAGAGAAGGUAACAAUAGGAACUAUGGAGGUUAAAACUCGAAACAUGUUUGCCUUCCAUGAAGUGGCUGUGCUUGCCCUGCUUCUAGUCACACCUUAGUUUUCCAAGCUGACUGUAUAAUCCGAGUCUUUCUCCGGAGAUAAUACAGGGUGCAGGCCCCUUCAAAGAAGGGAUUUGUGCUUGCUGCCAGCUCCCGGAGCUCUGUUCUGUCGAGUAGUUAAGAUCUCCAGAGUGGCUUAUAGGCUUUGUGUAAUUUCUAUCUGCACCCAGACAGCUGGACUUCAUUUCGUUUUAUUUGCAUUUAAUAAUAAGCCGCCUUUCCUUAGCUGUUAAAUUGUGAAUUAUCAAACACUAUCAAAUCCUCCUGCCCAUAUUCUGACUACACUUACUUUGAAACAGACCCAUUGGUAACACUCUGGUUCCAGGGAAAAGCUGGGCUUCGUGCCAUAUAUUUCAGGGUGGGAACUACUCUGAUAUAUUUCUUUGGGGGCUAAAAAAUGCCGUUUCUGAUCUAAUGCGAACACUGGGAACAGCACAGCAAGCUUUGUGGAGGAUUCAUCUUUAAUUAUUAAAACAGGAGAGAUCAUUCAUGCCUCUUUGAAGUUCUUAUUUUAUUUUCAGGAGAGGAAAUGAAUGUACAAGUCACUACAUGUGAAACAGGGUAAAAGUGAGUGUAAAAAGAAGAAAAGAACGAGUAACAGAAGAAAUAGACAAUAGAGGGAAAUCGUGACUGUAAAGAGGAAAGGAACAGUAGAAGUGAGAAGAAAGGACAGAGAUGGUCUGCUUGGUAGGAAGCUGGGACAUAGCUCUCAAUAAUAUUUGGAAAUAAGUGGAUUUGAGAUCUCUUUGCUAAGUCAACUGUUAGCAGCUACUGGGCUUAAAAGAGCUAAUGAUAAAGGAAAGGAUGAGGAAUAAGGGGGAAAGAUUUUACAUAUUAAAUCUUGCUGAGGCAUUAUGUCUUCUUGCUGUGGAAUUGGAAGAAAAAACAUAUAUAUAUAAAAACUGAGGAAGCUAGAAUGGGGUGAGGAAUUGUAAGGAAGAACAAAUCACGACCAGAAUAAAAAGUCAGUCAAUAUCAAGCAUCAAAGAUCUCAGUGUGUGGUUUUUCUUUCUGUCUAAAAGUGUCCAGUCCUGGUAAUUAGAAAGUGAGCAUAAUGAUGGGCUGGUCUGAAUCAUGCUUUAAUGAGUCAAAAUUACAGCAAGCUGGCAUCCGUUAUACGGAAGCAUUUGUGUUGGGGGGAAGGUUGGGGGGACAAGGUGUCAUUUUUCAGGAGAGAACAUUACUAAAGCCCUAGGUGUAUUGACACAACUGGUCAUGGGCUCCAGGCCGGGAGUAGCAGAGGGAACACAGGAUUUAUGUGCACUAAUGGACUCUGUGAUUAUUAUUCUCCAUGUUAUUAUUGUUAUCAUGGAUAAUGUACAUAUACAUCAACAAUUAAUUAUUGGGAGCUCCCCUUGUGGCUCAGCAGAAAUGAACCUGACUAGUAUCCAUGAGGAAAUAGGUUCAAUCUCUGGCCUCACUCAGUGGGUAAAGAUCCGGUGUUGCUAUGAGUUGGGGUGAAGGUCACAGACAUGGCUUGGAUCUCCCAUUGCUGUGACUGUGGUGUAGGCUGGCAAUUGCAGCUCCAAUUCAAUGCCUAGCAUGGGAACUUCCAUAUACUUCAGGUGCAGUCCUAAAAUACUAAAUAAAUAAAUAAAUAUCAUUUAGUUGCUUCUCAUGCUUGAGGAACUAGAGCCUUUUCUGGCUUACAGUGAAAAAACUGUAAGUUAAAGAGUGAGUUUGGACCUGGGAGAUGCUACUGUUAACCACAGACCCUGGACAGACAUUUGCUACUCUCUAAUGAGGUUCUCUCUUAUUUUAUUGUCCUCUAACCUGAUAUAUAUAUGGGAUUAAAAUGAACUUUCCCCAAUAAAGAGAGGAAUAUGGAAAGGAAACAAAAAUAUUUGUGUAUGUAGCGCCUGAAGCAUCUGGAGUCAGAGGACCAAAUUCACUAGUUCUCCAGCAUAAUAGCAUCAGUUCCAACCCAGGACACAAUCAUAAAACAGCACUCCAGUGCACAUAAAACAACUAAAUCCUCUCUUCCUUGCUGCUCCAUCAUCUCAUCUAUUCUUCAUGCUACCAACGUUGCAGUACACCUUAAACUAAUUAGAAACAGAUUUCCCAUUUCCUCAUGGCUUUAUAUUUAGUUUGUCAAUGAGCCAAUUUCUCGGCAGAUUCACUUUAAUGACACACAGCUAAGGAAUUCCCAUUGUGGGGCAGUAGAAAUGAUUCCGACUAGUAUCCCAUGAGGAUGUAAGUCUGAUCCCUGAACUGCUCAGUGGGUCAGGGAUCCAGCAUUGUCAUGAGCCGUGGGGAAGGUUGCAGAUGUGGCUCAGAUCCCAUUUUGCUGUGGCUCUAGCUUAGGCUGGCAGCUGUAGCUCUGAUUCGACCCCCAGCCUAGGAACUUCCAUAUGUCAUGGGUACAGACCUAAAAAAAAAAAAAAAAAAAAAAAAAGAAAGAAAGAAAAGAAAAGAAAUAAAUAAACCUCACAGCUACAAAUUAAAAGUGGAAGUUUGCUGCAUGGCACAGUGGGUUAGGAAUCCAACUGCAGUGGCUCAGGUCACUGUGGAAAUGCGGCUCUGAGUCCCAACUCGUCUCAGUUUUCGUUGUUGCCGAAGCUGCAGCUUUGGUCACAGCUGUGGCUUGGGUUCAAUCCCUGGCCCAGGAACUUCCAUAUGCUGUGAGUGAGGCCAUAAAAUUAAUUAAUUGAUUAAUUAGUUAGUUAAAAGGGUAUCUUAGAUUGGAAUCCCCCAAAAGUAGAUCCUGAAAUGAGUAAUUGUGUCAUGAUGACUUAACGGGAAACAUUCACAGGAAAAACCAGUAGAGAAGAAGGAAAGUGGGUAUUGGAGGACAAGAAUCACAAAUGAGAGUACAGUGUAAUGCAGAAUCUCACGGUGGGUAUGUCAUCCCUCCAAAUUGUCCUGACUGUAACAAGAGGGCCUGAAUGUUUCUAUUCCAGCAGCUAGAAUUACUGGUUAACACUUUCACUGGGGGAACACAAAUUCCUGGGCACUUGAAGAGCUCUAUGUUUUUAGGCAACAAAACAUCUAGCAGCUUGAGGACAGUCCACUGACAAAGAUUCUUGGGUGCUAGGUGUUCUAACUACACCUCAUUGGAAGACAAUAUUCAUGAAAAUGGUAGGAGAUACGAAGGGAUAUGGGCAGAGAGCACACAGACAGAAUCUACCGCAGAGGGCAUGACACUUCAUAGGCUCCCUGUUGCCUGUAAAAUACGGAUAUUGUUGUAACUUCUUAGCAUGGACCUUGCUUUUCUUCCCAAUUUGCCUCUUCUAUUCCUUUUCAGCUUUAUAGGACUGCUUCCAUUAUCUCAAAUGCACCAUACUGUUAAUGUUUCCUUACUUUUGUACAAGGCUUCCCCUCUCUGAAUGCCCUUAAAUAACCUCUUCCCUUUGAUGGGCUGAUAAACUCUUGCCCAAUAUUUGAAGAUCCUAUUCAAGCUUUACUUUCUGUGUGAAGUCUUCUGUAACUGAACUUGGAGGAAUUGACACUUAUUUCAUCAUAAAACUGUGGCACCUUUAAUCUCUAACAUAGGACAUAUCCAGCUGAAUUAUAAUUUUUAAUUUGUAUGAUUGCUUACUUAUGUUAUUUACAUUUUUAUUUAUUUUGAAAACCUAGAAUCCUUGAGAUAUGUCUGGUAUAUGGUUAUUAUCAGUGAAUGCUGCUGAAUGCAACGAAAUGUGUAUCAAAAAAUUGUAUGUAGGAAACACAUGGAAUAUUUGACUUGGAGGAUUCUUUCGAGGUAAGUAAGUCCAAGUUUCCACUUGGCGUAAAAAUCUCCAUUGAUCCACACCAGUGGAUAUUUGGUCUGUUUAUUAUAAAUAAUGCUUCAGUUAAAACUAUCACUUUUUGUUUAGACAGGAUAUAGCAGUAAUAAUCAGUUGUGGGAAUGCUUGCUGCUUGGAGUUGAGACUUCCACACUCUUCUCUUAUUAAUUAGAGUUUAUAUUGUGCCUGAAAUCCCUUUUUUAGUACUUUAAUAAAAUUUUCAUAGAAUUAGUAGUACUUAUUUUGAUGGUCAACACUUUCUAGGUUGAGAAAUCAGUAGCAAAUAUCAACACAGAAUACAUAUUAAUAUGUGCAAAGCUGACACUGUCCCAUCACUGGACAUUUCAUGGACAUGGACAUUCACACUUGCUUGUAUGUUUCCCUCCUGAUUAUGUCAAGGGAAGGGUUUCUUCUUGCUGAGUCCUUUCUUGUGAUCCUGUCUUGUAUUUGUGAAUCAUAUGACCAAACAUUGGCAGUGCAGUUUCUGGCUUUCAGUUGUUUAAUGUGAAGAGGAAAUGAAAAAUAAAUAAUGAUGAAAUGUUUUGUUAUAUUCAGAGAGACAAAGAAUGUAUAAUUUGGACCAGACAAAGGACUGUUUCAAAGGCAGAACUCAAGAAACCACGUGAUCAUCUCAAUAGAUGCAGAAAAAGCAUUUGACAAACUCCAACAUCCAUCCAUGAUAAAAACUCUUACCAAAGUGGAUAUAGCAGGAACAUGCCUUAACAUAAUAAAAGUCAUUUAUGACAAACGCACAGCAAAUAUAAUACUCAAUGGAGAAAAGCCAAAAGCCUCCCUGCUAAAAUCUGGAACAAGACAUGGAUGCCCACUCUCACACCUUUUAUUCAACAUAGUAUCAGAAGUCCUAGCCAAAGCAGUCAGACAAACAAAGGAAAUAAAGGGAAUCUAAACUGGAAGAGAAGAGGUAAAAUUGUCACUGUACGCAGAUGACAUGAUCCUAUAUAUAGAAAACUCUUAAGGACUCACAUUAUCCUCCAUCCUCUGGAGAAGAAGAGGCAGAGACAGAAUAAAUACAUGUGCAUAGAAUACACACACACACACACACACACACACACACACACACACACACACACACACAUAUACAUACACAAACACUAUAUAGGAGAUCUUUUUACCUUUCUUACAAAGUGGUGGCCCAUAAACUGGGAAAGUUUUUAAUUUUCAGCUUCACUGUCUUCUUUCUCUGCUCCUGAUCUCUAAUAAACAAAGUAAAAAGAUGAAUGUAUACAAAUAUGGAACAUGAUGGAGGAUAAUGUGGGUCUUGUCUGCUGAGCUGCUCUUGUUUCUAAUAUAUACGUAUAUGACUGGGUCACUUUUCUGUACAAUAGAAAUUGACAGAACACUGUAAAUCAACUAUAAUGGAAAAAAUAAAAAUCAUAAAAUAAAAAAGUAAAGGCAGAAAUCAUGAAUAAUCUAGAAGAGUUAUGAAAUAUAAUUGAUAUAAAAGUGAUUACAAUGUGAAUUUAUCCAGCAUCAUGGUAACCAAAGCAGACCUCUCUGCCUUUUGUCCCUCAGUGUUAGAAAGUAUCUUUUCUACUCUUUUGCCUACUAGGGUAAACCCUCCCCUACCCACUAGGACCUUUAUCAUCCUUGCUUAUCCUACCACAGCUGGAAGUUGGCUAGCUUUUGGAAUAGAUACUAGAGAGACUGUGUUUGCAUUUUUUCCUCUAUACCAUCUGUUCACUGAAUGGAUUACAGUUGCCUCCAGUUAAAAAGCAGAUUGUCUUGGCCCAAGGUCAGGAGAGAAGUCUCAGCAUCCUGUUUGUUGAAAACCUCUUACCAUCUCUGCAAGACUGGAAUGUAACAUCUGCAAUUAGAACUUGGGUCCCUUGACUGGUUCCUCUGGCUAUUGCCUAGCAACCCUAUCCUGGAAAUUCACAAGAGCAGCUCUUAUCUGGCCUGGCCUCCUAUUUCUUCAUCUCAAUGUGUUUUCUAUUGGUCUUACCUUUUUUUUUUGUUUUGUUUUUUGUUUUUUUUUUAAAGAUGACUGCUGUCAGUCUUGAUUUACUUGCAUUAUGUGCUUGUGCUCAGAGCUUUCAGAGCUGUGAUCUCAGUGAACAUUAGCACCAGUAAAAGACCUACAGUUGUCUUUUGCCAAAUCAAUUUGGCAUCAUGUUCAAAAGAAAAUUUUGUAUGCAUUCAUCUUUUUACUUUGUUUAUUAGAGAUCAGGAGCAGAGAAAGAAGACAGUGAAGCUGAAAAUUAAAACCUAUCCCAGUUUCUGGGCCACCACUUUGUAAGAAAGGUGAUUCUAAUGUACAGGCUGCUGAGGACAACUGAUUUAGUGGUUCCAUAAGCCAAGGCAGUUGAUGACUGAGAGAGAUGAAAUAAAGGAGCAUUCCUCAGAAUAAAAUGAUAAAGUGAGAGGCAACCUAUUCCUGAGUUGAGACCUGAGUAAGUAACCAGAGGAGGUGUGGAGGAUGGGCUUUCGUUCUUCUAAACACGUGACACAUCAUUUUAAAGACGAAGAUGGUAGAUUACUGUACAUUGCUGAGCAGAGACAGGCCAAAUAAUUCUCUGGUUUGACUAAUGAGUUUCUUCCCAAACAAGUGAAAUGGUUUUGUUCUUAUUUAACAAAAUCCCUUUACAUGGCUUGGUUUGAGGUUAGCAGGUUUAGCUCUCAGAUGAAGGAGGAAAGGACUAGUUAGCUUGCAGCUCCAGGCACCAACAUACUGAUGAGCCAAUUGUGACACGUAAUCAAUGUGUGAAAAGUGGGUAAUUCUCACUAAUGCCCUGCUAAUGUUUUCAGAAUGAUCUGUCAAAGGACUGAAGCUAAUUAUUGUCAUGGCAGUUUGGCCCAGGUCCACUGGAAUAAUCCUGGCAUCAGUGAACAAGAGCAUACCAUACGUUGCCAGUUUGUCACCCACUUUGAGUCUUUAUUCCUCUUUCUCCUCACAUAGAAAUCCUAUAUACCAUUUUCUAUAUUCUUUAAAAUAUGUAAUUACAUCCUUCAUUUCCCUUUCAUUUUCUUGUUUUCCAAGCUCCAUGCUUCAUCUUUUUUUUUUUCCCCCUACUUCCCUUUUCCUUUUUAUUGCAAAAAAUAUUGGAUGGUAACUCAAGAGUCCUAAAAUCUAAUCCUGGUUUUACUAUAAGAGCAAACUGUGUCAUACUCUCUGUGUCUGUUUAUAGGAAAGAAGGAGCAGAUAAGCUGUAAUAAAGGAACUAGGUAUGCAAUAGUGUCCUUUUGUUUGAAAAUAACAAAAUUCUGGAUUUACCUUGCAUGUCUGCUCUAUGUUUAGGUCCAUGGCAUCGUUUUUUUUAUCAAGUUUAUUUAUCACUACGAUGACUCAUUUCUGAACCAUGGGACAUCUAGUAAGCAGGGUACCUACUAGUAAUCAAUUGUGUAGGAAAUGGAGUUUAACCUGCUCUAGAAAUUUAAAGGCGGAGGGAAAACAUUGAGUCUUCAGGUACAAAGACAUACUCCCAGGUACAUAGCAAGGUGACACUGCCAUCUCCAAACUUUCUUGUAAGAUAGUUUUCUCUUGGAAUAAUUUUUCAUUAAUAAUCUCUUGAAUAAUAUCAUAGCAAUGCCUUGGAUCAGUAUAGCAUCUAGUGAUGGUCUCAGAUCUCUUCUCAUCUCAGUUUUAACAUCCCUGUGAAAUAGUUGGGGUGGAUAAUAAUUAUCCCUUCUUUGUUGAUGGAAAACUGGCAAAAGGAGAUUAAUAACAUUUAUAGUCAAAGUGAAUUUGCAUUAUGCAUUUUCCUUCUUAAGCAGUCUUCCCUGCAAGACUGUUCAUGUGUAUGUGUUUAUGUAUAUGUGAUGUGUUUACUUUUUUAGCAAACAGCAUAGUAAAGCGAUGCACAGUUUUUCACUUUUGAGCCAAGUUGAGAAACAGUGUAAUUUUUACUCCCAAAAGAGGCAAAAGCUGUAACAAGUAAGAAAUUUGGAGAUUAAAAAAAAAAAUUUUAAGUAUUUAAACAUUACCUUAGAGCAAAGAUCAGCAAACUUUUUCUAUAAAGGGAUAGAGAGUAAAUAUUUAGAUGUUGUAGGACACAAAUAUUAUCAGUUACAUACUCUUUUCUUAAAUUGCAACCCAACCCUUAACAAAAUUAAAAAAAUUAUUUUUAUUAUUAUUUUUUAAAUUUUUUUGUCUUUUUAGGGCCACACCCAUGGAAUAUGGACUUCCCCAGGCUAGGGGUCCAGUUGGAGCUGUAGCCACCAGCCUACACCAGAGCCACAACAAUACUGGAUCCGAGGUGCGUCUGCAACCUACACCACCACUUACGGCAAUGUUGGAUCCUUAACUCACUCAGUGAGGCCAGGGAUCAAACCUGAGUCAUCAUGGAUGCUAGUCAAGUUUGUUAACCAUUCAACCACAACAGGAACUCCUACAAAAUUUUUUUUUCUUGAAGACUUUAAAAGAAACAGGCCACAAGCCAGAUUUGGCCCUUGGGCCAUAGUUUGCCAAUCCCUGCCUUUGAGUCAUUCUCAUAUUGUGUAGUCCUAGGAGGUAGCUGCUAUUGAUAAUCCCAUUUUACAAAUGAGAAGACUGUGGAUAAUAAAGUAGAAUCAGUUACUUGUCCUACAAGUAAAGCCCGAAGUGUUCUCAGUGAAGUGUUGCUGCUACACACUAGGUAUCUCGUGGUGUGCUAAAAGGGCUCCAGGUGUAAAGAGUGUUACACAUGGGAAAGCCAGUGACUGUAGAAUGAGGAAUCGAAAAUUCCUAACCCAGAAGGAAUCCAGGGGAAACACACAGUUUGUGACAAUGAUUAGGUUUCUGUCUUUUAAUUCUGUAUUUUACCUGCACAUGAAUCCAGACUAUGAUGUUGCAUCAGGUUGUCCAUGUAUGACUGUUUUCCUUGCUUGUCAGAAUAUUUCUCCUCAACCUGGAUCCUCUCUUUAUCACAGAUCUUUUUAACUGUGCUGAUUCUUACCUAUGGUCAUGUUUUUUUUUUUUCUACUAUACUCUGACUUCCUUUAGAGGAUUCUUAAGUAUCAUUUCCAGUUGGAUAAACGUUUAUUUCCCUUCCACAUACCCACUUGAUCCAGAAAGACUUUGAUCUGAACAAUCUUCUAAUAAUAAAAAUCAUAUGCCACUUUUUUGCUUAGAAUUCAUGAUGGUCUUCCCAUAGCCUUUAACAAAUACCAUAUGAUAUCACUUACAUCUGGAAUCUAAUAUACGGCAGAAAUGAACCUUUCCACAGAAAAGAAAAUCAUGGACUUGGAGAACAGACUUGUGGUUACAAAGGAGGGAGUGGGAUGUAUUGGGAGUUUGGGGUUAAUAGAUGUGGACUCUUGCCUUUGGACUGGAUUGGCAAUGAGAUCCUGCUGUGUAGCACUGGUAACUAUGUCUAGUCACUUAUGAUGGAACAUGAUAAUGUGAGAAAAAAGAAAAUAUACAUGUAUGUGUGACUGGGUCACCAUGCUGUAUGGUAGAAAAAAUAAAUUAAAAAAAUUUGAAAGAAGGAAAAGCAAAAAAUAAAAUAAAAUCCAAAUUCCUGUCCCCGCCUACAAAAGCCACACAUGAACUGACUUUUUCUUAAUUUCCAAUAAUAUAUACUUUAUUCUCCAUGAUUCAGACCAACUGUACUCACUUGUUGAAAUGCCCAUCCCCAGAUCUCUGAGCCUGGGUCCUUCUUGUCUUUCUUACCUUCUCAAAGAGGUUGCCCUGGCCACGCACCUUAAUUACAGCAGACUGCUUGACUUCCCAGCAUGAUACUGAGAAUAGAUGAGAACAUAUCCUUGGUUAGAUCAAUUAAAAAUGAUCACCUUUGUUUAUUUAUAAUUAUCACAGCAAUUAAAUGUACAGUCAAUAAAUCCAAUUAAAUUGUUCACUGAUAGAGAUUUUUAUUUCUUUAAAAUCUUCCUGAUACAAUAACAACAUUCGGAAUGUCUGCAAACACACAAUGAUCUUCUCAGUAAGAAUGAACUCAUAUGAGGUAAGACUAUUUUUUGGUCUAAACAAUUUACUGAUGGAAAAAAGAACAGGCCAAGCAUAUGUCCUGUUACAUGUGUUACUUCUACCAUCUACACACUAUGUGACCUUGACCAAGGUAAUUUAACUUUGUCAAAUUCAAUUCAAUCAGCUGUAAAUUUAAACUGAUGCUAUUUAUCUUAUGGCCACAUCUACUAUACAGGCUAAGUGAGGUGGUCCUCUAAUUGAGGGGUUGGAGGGAGUUCCCAUGUCAACCUUAUUAUGAUGUUUACAAUUAUACCUGACAGUUAUUUAUUUCUAUAUAAUUAGUUUAAUUUUUGUCUAUACCACUAGAUUGCAAGUCUCAAGACAUCAGGGAAACUAUCUAUUUUGUAAGUCCCUGAAUCCUCAGCAUCUGAUUUAGUGCUAAACAGAAGACCCUUGAUAAAUGUUUAUCAAAUUAAUUAAUUAAGUUCUUAUAAAGAUCAAAUUUUAUUAAUUCUAAAAUCUGCUAAUAUGUAGUAUUAAACUGUUCUCUAUAGUAUUGUAACUGCUUCUCAUUCUUCUUUAUACCCACAGAAGGAACGUCAUGCCAGGGUGAGUGGGUAGUGAGAAAAUAUUUUUUGUAGAGGCUUCUGUCUAUGUCACUAUAAAAAGUCCCCUCAAAUUAGUGAGUCAGCACCAUUCUGGUUGUCUAACCUCAUAUAAUUCCUUGAAGAAAUAUUACAUUCGCCACCAGAAACAAUUUGUUAACCAGACCACUCACUUGGAACUGGGCCUGGUCAUGGGCCCCCAGGUUGAUUCUAUAGUCAUGAGUGUUGGUGUCCUUUAGGACAUUUGGUCCACCCCACACAGAGUAGAGGUUUAGAGGGCACUGUGAAAGGGAGAAACAGCCCUAGACAGAAACAGAAAUUCUCAGAAAGGCAUUCUGAAGUUUAGUUCCCCACUCCCACCCUAGCACAGGGACCAGGUUAUGCUUUCUGUGCUUUCUGGGCUCUCGGGUGGAAGAGUGAGUGUAGUUGACAUCUGGGGCAUGGUAAACUCAGAGAGAUGUGCUAAACUGAGUCCCUAAUUCUGGCUCCCAAGUAAGUAGUUAUUUUCAUGCCACUUGCAGUCUCUGUUUCCUUGUUGGUUACAGGAGACCAAUGGUGUUUUUCUAAUAAAUAAGUAUUAUAUGUGUAUCUCUGUGUUUGUGUGUUAUAGGUACCCAAUUCUUUAUGAAGAAGAAAGGGUUCUACAGAAUUUAAAUAUUAUUAGCAGUCAUGAAAAUCAUGAAACUAAAAGAAGUGAAUGGGCUAUAACUUUGAAGAAGAUAUAGGAUAGUGGCCAAUAAAUUCAAUAGGGUGGCAGUAUGUGUCUUUAAGCUGGUAGGGUAAAGAAAGAAGGAAUACAAGGUAAAGUUUGGACUUGUUUUCUUAGAAACAGUACAAGUAGAUAAGACAAAUUAUGCUGAUGGCUGUCUUAACAUACAGAGCCAAAGAGCUGGUUUUUAUUUAAUAUAUGUGGAGAGGUUAUUGAACACGGGACUGAUGGAGAAAAAUGUUUUAGAAAAAUUGAUUUGGCAUUAAGUGAUGGAUUAUAUAAAUAUUUAUAGGUGCUUAUUGACCCCACAGGGGCAUCUUUGAAAUGUGUUCUCCUUGUUUAAUUUCCUUUAAGUUUUAUUUUGGCAUCAGUAAAAAAUCUGGAGAUAGCUGAAUGUAUAAAUCAAAACAUUGCUCUUAUUAAUUAGAUGUAAGAACUGUGUUAAGAAAAAAUGCUUCAAAACAGAUUGACUGAUAGUACAGAAAUGUUCUUUCUUUGCAUAAACCCAUAGAACUAUGAACAACAAAAAUUAAACUACGGUUUUCAUGAAGUAUUUGUGCAGUUUCAAGGAUAAAACUCUAAUCCCAUUACAGUCCCUUGAUGUAAGAGUUGUUGUUACUCUAUUUUGUCUUUUGUUUUUGAAACAUCAGAUUAAGUUCUGGUGUGGCCUGCUAAAGGAAAAUAUUUUGUCAUUGUAAUAAGAAGGAAUUCUUUUUCAUUACACGUUUUAUCCAAAAUGAGAGACGCAAGAUUUUUGUUUUGGAGAAGUAGGUAAUUAGGUUCAAGAAUAGCCUAAUGUCAAUAUUUAAAAGUAAUCCGCCCAAUGGGUGUUUUACUUCAUUGUGAUUGUAUUUAUCAGAAUUCAGAGUAUUCUUUAUAAGGAAUUGAUAAGAUACAUUCAAUAGUAGCACCUCUCCAACAAUUAUGGAUUGUAGUCUAAAAAGCUGUUGACAGACAUUCUAAUUAUUCUAAAUUUCUAAAGAAUGAAUUCUGCUAUAUUAUUAGCAAAACUCACUAAAUAUUAAUGAGCUUAGUGUAGUGUUGCAGUCAGAUAAAAUUAUAAAAAGUAAAUUUAUACGUAGUAAAAAUAUGUGCAAUAGUUAUUAUUCUACAAAAAUGUAGUCAUAAAUGAUAAAGAGUUCACAUAAAUGUCUAUAUUUUGAAGCAUUUUCGUAUGAAAUGAGACUUUAGUGUGUAGAAAACUGUCCUAGGAUUUUAAUCCUGAAAACACUAGAGGAUUCAGUUACUAAAGUAAUAAUCUAGAAUGCUCUCAAAGUAAGUUGUUGGUUACAUCCAGGUUUUUUUUUUUUCAAGCUGAAUUUCAGGAUGAUGUUAUGAUCCUCAACUCUAAAAGUUAAGAAAAUGCCUUAUAGAUAUUACAAGAGAAAUCUACCAUUAAGCACUAUUAUUAUAAAUAACAAAAAUGCUUUUGAUUAAAAAAGAAAACAAAAAAGGAAAGAUACAUUUUAUGUAUAUUAUGAUAUUCACAAUUUAAAACAAAAACCAAACUCUUAGGGAAAAAAAUCCUUGUAGGAAAAAUAGUAAAUGUUAAAUGAUAAAAAUGUUUAUCAUUAGAUGGUAGGACUAUUUUUAUUUUUUAAAUAUUUUAUGAAUUUCCUAAACAUACUAAUCAUUUUCUUUAAAAUAUUUUAAAAUUGUUUUUUCAUGAUGGGAGUUUGAGUUUUUGAUUUUAUUAUUUCUUUCAAAUACUGUCCUAGCAACAAACAGUAGCCCGAAACUGUUCAGCUUGGAACACAGUUUAGAGUUCUUUUCCCCAACAGUGGUUGAAAUGGCUUCCCUUUCUUCUCUCAGUAAUAAUAUAAUGAUGAUCAUAAUAGUGAUGACAGACAGAAAAGACAAAGUAGCAUGAAUGUGGAAAGCAUAACAUACAUUUCAAAGCAAUUUUCACAUAAAUUUCCUCAUCUGUUUCUCAUGAUAUCAACUCUGUGAAGUAGAUGGACUUAUUUACCAAAAGGAAUCAUCCUUUUUUUGUGCCUGAACCCAAGGCAGGAGAGGAUUAAAGGAACUAUAUAGCUGGCAAGGGAGGCAUCUUGAAUCUUGACUGAACCAUUAUUGAUUCAACUAAGGAAUUCACAAAACAUCAUGUUAUAUAAGGGACUUGAGCAUCCAAGGAUUUCGGUAUCCAAGUUCUUGAAACAAUUCCCCAUGGAUACUGAAGAAUGAUUACAUAGACAUCCCCACUUCCUUAUUUUUAGAAAUUUUAUUGGUAGCAGUUCAGACUCUGGAGUCCUGGAAGAGCUCAAUUUGUGACUUACAAUUCCCAAGUCUAGAUGAGUUGAGUAAUCUAUGGAGAAAUUUGUAGGCUGAUCGUAGUUUGGUUGACACCAAAAAAUGCAUCAGUAAAUGAAGUGUUAACAGUAAAGUGGCUUUGACAAGUAGGAAGUGAUUGCCAACAAUGGUUUUCUGACUAUCCUCAGUUAAUUAUUUUUUUUUUUGAAAUUCUGUAUAAUUCAUGGAUUAUGGAUCAAAAUACAAUCAGAAAUCUAGUAGCUAAGGUGCAGGUAACCAGAGUUUGGUCUUCAUCUCUACAGUUGAUUUGAGGCCAGACACUUAAAAUCCUCAAACCUCAACUCAUUUCUAGUACCAUGCAUUUAAUGUCAUAAUAAUAUUUGUCAAGUUUAUUAAACUCUUAGAAGUUAGGUACUAAGUAAGUGUCCUGUGGCAUUAUACCCAUGCAAUGACAAAUGCCUACCAAUUUCAUAAAAGCUUUUCAUGAGAAUCAAAUGUCUCUAUACAAAAAAUAAAUUCUCUUGAAUGCAGUACAAGAUCAGCUUCUUAUUUUAUUACAAUUUAAUGUGAUUUUAUUGGAAAUGACUAGGUAACCAUUGCUAUCCUCAGCAGAACAGGGAAAUUUUCAUUGUCCUAAAAGACAUCAAUCAUGUUUUUUGUUUAAGUGAUCACAAAUGAAUUCAUAGUCCAAUCUCUUUACUGCUGACCUGUCUUACCAUACAAUUUGAAUACUAUAUAAAAGAUACUUUCUUUUAUAUACAACAGUAAUGGUGAAACAUUGAACUAGACAUUAAAUGAAGUACCCUGAAGAGGUCACUAUAAUAAAAUGAGUGUUCUCAUUUGUUUUGUCACCAGUCUCUGGGUUUCUUAAGAGGUUUGCCGAUACUGUCUUUGAUCAUGUUGAUCUACUUAGCCUAGACUGUUCUUCUUCAUCACCUUUAAUAUAUGAGAAAUGAAUUCAAAGUCAGCUACUCCAUGAGACCUCAGUAUUGAUUAUAGAACUUCGCUUUAGAGUGUUCUCUAUUUAUUCAGAUUUUUGGAAUUCUUUUCUCUUCAAUAUCAAGAAUUAUUCAGCACAAAUUCCAUUUGAUGGAAGGAGUUCAGAAGUGAUUAUUAUAGACUAUAUCUGUGAGAAGGAUGAAUCUGAGGGUAAACUUAAGUUGUUCUCAGGUUUUUUUCUGAGCCUGUGUCUUACUCUGGCCAUGUGCAGUUAUCCUUUAAUUUUCCUCAUAUAUGUCAUUGUUUUUAAAUAUCUUAUUCUUCAUUGCCUUGCUCCCAAGAGUGGAAAAAAAGUGAAAAUGAGGGGGAAAAUGUUGACAUCCCUUUAAGUCCUCUGAAAUUACCUUCAGUCAGAAGGGGAAGGAGUUUGCAAUAAUGGGAGGAGGUAAAAGAACAAGAGCCUCCUCUUUCUUCUCUUCAUAUCUGUGUUGUGAACCAGUCAGAGAGCAGACCUAUAAUCUUUGGAAGACAGGGGUCCUUUUGCUUACCCUGAAAUCUGCAAGCAGGUGCAGGCUCCUCCAGUAACACAUACACAGCUGCUCACCACGGGGCUUAAUGGUGGGCAGUAUGUAGCUGCUACUGUGUUAAGAACUGAAAUUGACCAUAAUUAACCACAAUUUACUAUGUAAGCAUCUCUUGGAAGUUGCAAGCCUUUAAUGGAUGCCAGAGUUCCAAAAGAGUUAUAUCAACUGGAUUCUACAAUUGUCUUGGUUUCUGAUUCCUCCUACUUUACCAUCUACCCAGAAUCCUCCUUGUCUUCUGAUAGUUUUAUACUAAAUUCUUGUUCUCGUUAAUUCUUAAUUGUGUAUUUAUAGACUGCCCACUUUUAGCUGCCUUGUGUUUCCUCAAACAUCUCUUCUAUUCUCCAAAACCUACUGCAACCGCAAUGUUGUUAUGUAAGUAGACUUUUUAAAAGAUUUGAUAAUAAAGGGUCAUUGAAUGUAGCACAAAAUAAAAACAUUUAGAAUUACAUUUUUUUUUUGUUUUAAUACUCUGUUCAUCCUGACUUUACUAAAUCUAUGUAUUAGUUUGCUAGAGCUACCAUAACAAAAUACCAUAGACCAGGGGCCUUAAACAACUGAAAUUAAUUUCCUUACUGUUCAGGAGCCCGGAGGUCUGAGAUAAAGGUGCUAGCAGGGUUGGGCUCUUCUGAAGCCUCUCUUCUUGGCUGCACAUGGCUGCCUUCUUAUUGCCUCUUCACAUUGUCAUCCUUCUGUGUGCACAUACCCCUGAUGUCUUUAACUCUUCUUGUAUAAGGACUCACUCUAGUCAUAUUGGUUGGAGACUCACUCUAGAAGUCUUAUCUCCCCAAACAGUUAAAUUCUAUGAUAUGAGGAGUUGGAACUUCAAUUUAUGAGUUUUGGGUGGACAUAGUUCAAACCGUGACAGUCUGUUUCCCCCUAAGACUAAAGACUGCCUUCAUGUUCCUCAUGUGACCUUUUUCCUCUUCCUCUUCUCCAGAUUCCUGUGCCACUCCACAAAACAUUUCUUUAUUCUAGAGCUGCUUCAAGAGCUGCCAGAGGGCAAGCCCACAUUCCUGUUCUUCAUUACUUCCAGAUCUCCCUUCCUCUUGGUAGACCUACCAGGGUGGAGAGAGGGAAUAUAACCAAAGGGUUUUGAAAGAGGUUUUCCAGAUGCUAAGAGUAAUUAUCUCCUCAGAAUGAAUGCUUCUAUCCUUGUGGCUCAAAUUGCAGCCAGUGUUGUAAAUAAUAUUUUUUUCUAACCACUCACCUGUGUAUCACACCCAGAUCUUUAUUAAAACUAUUUGCCGUAUCUGCGUGCCUCAGCCUAUAGAUCCUAAGGUCUUUUUAGGCAGAGGCUCUGUCUUUAUUAUUGUAUUCCUAAGCCUUCAUAUCACAGGAUCUGCUUUUUUCUACCUUUCUUCUUUAUGCUCAUGGAAAAGCUCUGCAUUUCCCUCAAUGUUACACACUUAAAUUACUUCUUGUUUAAAACUUAAAGCUAACUUUUAUACAUUAGAUCUUAAGCUUCUUGAAUUGGUCCUUAAACAGUACCUAUGUAUUUCCAUUAGCAAAAAUUACUUUAUAUCAGUUCUAGAACUUCUAUUAUUAAUCUCAUAGCUACCUAGGUUUAUCAAAAACAAACAUUCUUUUCUGAGGAGGUAAAACUCUAGUUAGCUAUGAAUUUAUGUUUUAUGUUUUUAAAUACUACCUGUUUUUGUAAUUUUAUAUAGGGAAGAUUUCUAGCCAACCAUGGAUGAUUUUUUUCAGUUAAAUUAUAUAUAUGUACAUACAUACAUAUGAGCAAUUAUAUAUGCAUAUUACCUAGGUCUUGAAAAUAUUUUUUUUCUGGGAAAAAUUGUGUUUCUUAUGUCCUGGCUUCUGUCUCUGAUGGCCAAAGCUUUUGUUACUUCUCUGAAAAAUAACCCCACUAUUAAUAGAAGUGCUGACCUCUAUUAUAACCUGUCCUGAUGAAGCAUUCAGUCAUUAAUGGUUCCUUCACCAUGUCACAUUCUCAGAUAGUAAAUUCUAUUAAAAGUGUCCAAUAUGAUCGUAGGCAUUGUCUUUCCUUUGGAUUUGAAUGCCAAGAAACCUAUUUGACUGGAGCCAGCUUUUCCAAACUAGUUAGUCAUCUUUUAGAGGAAGCCAAUGAAGUAUAUUUAGAGCCAGUCUAAAUACUAUUCACCUAACUUUGAGCAUGUUUUAUUGAAAAAAAUUUAAGUUAGUUUGCCUCCAGUUGGUCUCUUACUUUGGAAUCUAGAUAAUCACUGUCAGUUAUAGAGAUUUGUUUUAACUGUUAUAUAUAAUCUUCUGAUAUACAGGUGGGCUACAUGAGUAUUAACCAAGUUAUUUGGAGAGCUUACAGAAGAGUCCACAUGAUUCCCGCCCACUCUUGGCAAUCACCUCUUUUGGAUUUAUGAGUAUAAGUUUGCCUUCAGCCUUGUUUUACUGUAUAUUAUCAUGGUUUUAACUUGUCAGAAGAGGUUCACCCCACCUCCUCUGUGCACAGCUGCAAAAGAACACGGUAUGCAUCCCUCUGAGCCUUUACCAGUGCUCUUCUCACACUAUUAAUUAAAUGAGAAAUAUUAUUACAGCAUUUAGAAGAACCUAUUAGGCAGCUAAAAUUUUCCACCCAUUUGCAUUUACCAGAAGCAGUUUUGCUCCCACUCAUUCACCUGCCGCUCAUGUCCUUAGGUUAGGAGAAUGUUCAUUUGUGCUUAUAGACAAGCACAUUCUGAGAUAGCAUAUAGUCACAGUCUUUAGGUCUGGAAAGAAUGCGUCGGGAAACAAAAAUAAGAGAACCAGUGAAUAAUUAUUUGUGCUUGUAAGUAGUGGUUUCAUGACAUAAAUGGAAAGGUAAGAAAAUGAAUAAAUAUAAAAAAGGCAAAGAAAUACCUCAUUCAGAUAGAUGAAGAAACUUAGGUCAAAAAGAAGUAUACUUGAUAGAAGAUGAGGAAAUAAAAGUGAUACACAAACUUAAGAUAUAUUUAAGUUCUAACAUCUUUGUAAUAGGUGACCAUUUGACUUUUCUUUUUGUGUUUUAUGAAGUGUUUAGCACACAUAUACUCCAGGCCCAGCUUAGGAAAUAGAUCAGUGGUACUAUGUUGAGGAUCAGUGGUUGUGAUUUCUCUAGUGUAAGUCCUCAGAUAUACAUAUUCAAGAAAUACAGGAUCUUGGAGUUCUCUUCAUGGCUCAGCAGUUAACAAACCCGACUAGGAUCCAUGAAGAUGUGGUUUGAUUCCUGGCUACACUCAGUGGGUUAAAGAUCCGCCGUUGCCAUGAGCUGUGGUGUAGGUCGCAGAUGCAGCUCGGAUCUGGCAUUGCUGUGGCUGUGGCAUAGGCUGGCAUCUGUAGCUCUGAUUUGCCCCCUAGCCUGGGAACUUCCAUGUGCCAUGGGUGUGGCCCUAAAAACCAAAAUAAAAUAAAAUAAAAUAAAAUAGAAAUAUAGGAUCUUAUUGGGUUAUGCCCAUACCUUUGACUCUUCUAAUGCAAUGAUCCAAUUAUCUCACCUAAUCUAAUCAGUUGUUAUUAAACAGGUUGUUAAUGUCUAAUGUGCCAUUUGGAAGUGUUUAGGUAGUGUUUACAUAAGGCAUGGGAGUAAUUGUUUUAGGUACAAGAUAUGCCAGCUGCCUUAUUUCCCAAGUCUGGCAAAUUAAAUCAGUUCAUACCCUCCCCUACUAUUCAUAUUUUGUGAUAGGCUAGGCAAUGCACAUGUAGAAAAUGGCUCAAGAAAACAAUGUAGCAUGUGACUGCUAAGAAAUAUUCAAAAAAUACUAUAAUAUGGCAAAAUAAAUAGGUCUUUGACUUUGGUACCUAGAAUUAUUCCUUAAUCCCAGUCACCAUUAUUAAGGCAAAGUGAAGAAGGUAAACCUUAAGUGCACAGAAUGGAUCUACCAUUUCUGAAUUUCCAGCCCUUAACACUAAGUAGCUACUCAGUAAAUGAUUUUCUAAAUUAAUAAAUGAACAAAUGCAUUGCUUCUCAGGCACAUCCUCCCAAACAUCCUUGGAGAUCAAAUGCUUGGACUUCUUUGAUCCUUUGAAUCUUUCUUCCAUGUUUCCUUGAAAUUUUUUAUUCAUUUAUGUAAAAAUAUGUGUGAGAAGGUCCUGAAUAAUAGUUCUGUGUGCAGACAAAUAUGAAUGGCCACUUAAAGACACAGUGAUAGAUAGUUUGAGUAGUUAGUGCCAAAAACUGUUACUAGAAAAAUGCUCUGAUUCUCAUUGCUUAUCAAUCCUGGUCUUCGCCUUCAUGAAAAGUUGACAAAUCGUGGAAAGAAAUGCUUUUGAUAGAGGUAAGAUUUGACCUCAAGGAAAUACAGUCUCUCUUGGCCCACUGCACUAGAAAAACACCUACAAAAAGUUUACUUCAAGUAAACUGUAGUUCAUUCUCCAGGGUGUUGUCUUGGACCUAGGCCAUCCUAGGGACUAAACCUAAGAAGACUCCCAUUGAGUUCCUGCCUUCAGGUUCUAUUCCCUGGUGUUUUAUUUUCCAAGGCCCUACCCAAAAGCUGCUUAAGAGCAUAGGCUAUGAUAUAGGUACUUGGAGCUAGGUCUACCUCUGACAUUAUUCUCUGUUAUCAAGAUGACAUGAUUGGUCUAAUACAGAGUGCUCACAUAGAGCUAUGUUAAAGAGAGGACAAGUCUAUAUCUUUAUUAUUUCUGCCAUUUGAAAAGUUUCAGCAUCUUGAUUCUGUGUGUUUAUAUCAUACCAAAAAAUUCUCUUCUUUCAGACCUACUAAUUCAAGGGGAAAUAAUCUUUACACAUUGGUUGAUGAAUGAAUGAAUGAAUUAAUUAAAAUAUAUUACUUACAUAGUAUAAAUGCACCUUAGUGUAGAUAAGAACUAGACCCAGAGUCUCUAUCCUCAAUAAGUUUAAAAUACAGCUUAAAAUAUAAUACUUUAUAGUAACCACCAUUGAAAGAUUCAAGUAAACCAAAAUUUCUUUCACGGCAGCCAGAUUUUCUUUAGUAUGGCAAAAGAUAUUUCAUACAUGGUAGAUCUACCAAAGGUAGAUGGGCAGAUAUUUAAAUAUAGUCCAAAGUUUAUAACUGGACUAUUUAUUUCUUUAUAUCCUACAUAACUCCAAAAGCACUCUUAAGUGGGGAAGAAUAAUUAUUGGCUACAUUUUUCAAAUCCAUAUUUUUAAAUUAACAGUUCUUAGCUUUUUAUUUGUAGACAUUACUGUUUGGAAAAUUGUACUGAAACCAGUAGAAUCUAUCAUUAAAACCUAAUAUGUGAACACCUUAUAUUUUAUUCCAUAGUAGAGACUUUUACUCAGUCAAGGUUUUUGUAUAGAAACAGGUCUACAUAAAGACAAAAUGUCUUUCAUCUAGAUCAUCACUCAUAUCAAAGUUUAAAAAAAAAACAUUCUAGCCAAGACAUGGAAACAACCCAAAUGUGCAUUAACAGCUGAUUGGAUUAGGAAGAUGUAGUAUAUAUACACAAUGGAAUACUACUCAGCCAUAAAAAAGAAUGACAUAAUGCCAUUUGCAGCAACAUGGAUGGAACUAGAGACUCUCAUCCUGAGUGAAGUAAGUCAGAAAGAGAAAGACAAAUACCAUUAUGAUAUCACUUAUAUUGGAAUCUAAUAUAUGGCACAAAUGAACCUUUCCACAGAAAAGAAAAUCAUGGACUUAGAGAAUAGACUUGUGGAUGCCAAGGGGGAAGGGGAGGGAGUGGGGUAGUUGGGGAGCUUGGGGUUAAUAGAUACAAACUAUUGCCUUUGGAAUGGAUUAGCAAUGAGAUCCUGCUGUGUAGCACUGGGAACUAUGUCUAGUUACUAAUGAUGGAGCAUGAUAAUCUGAGAAAAUAGAAUGUGUAUAUGUUUGUGUAACUGUGUCACCAUGCUAUACAGUAGAAAAAAAAUGUAUUGGGGAAAUAACUAUUAAAAAUAAAUAAAUAAAAGCUGCAAAAAGAAAAAAAGAAAAAGCAGAUUCUUCUAACAAAAAAACAAACAAACAAAAAACAUUCUAGGAGUUCCCAUUGUGUUGCAGUGGAAACGAAUUGGACUAGGAACCAUGAGGUUACGUGCUUGAUCCCUGACCUCUCUAAGUGGGUUAAGGAUCCGGCGUUGCCUUGAGCUGUGGUGUAGGUUGCAGAUGUGAUUCCGAUCCUGCAUUGCUGUGGCUAUGGCGUAGGCUGGCAGCUGUAGCUCCAAUUCAGACCCUAGCCUGGGAACCUCCAUAUACCGUGGUUGCAGCUCUAAAAAG